UGUUUUUUUAUUUUGUGAAGCUUGAUUGAUGACUUGUAUGUUUAAGUGGGAUAUCUCAUUUGUAUGGACAAAGUAAAAAUUAUCAUGUUUUGCAUGCUUGAUUUUUAUCGAUGGUUCGUUUAUGUCAAUUGUGAGCCGGAGGAGGCCACAGAAGAGCCGGCCACACCAAGAGGGUGCUUGGAUCCAAGGGACUUAUUUUAGUCUGACUAAAAAUAGUCUCUUUAAGAGGCUAAAGUUCCAUGCACCCCUGACUAAAGAGGCGCUAAAACUAUUCUUGAGACUAAAAUUUUUUAGUCAGGGGUACCCCUACUAAAAUGUGGAUUAGUCCUCUCUCUCCUCAUUUAACUCCUCUCCUUUAACACAGGAGAGUUCUGGAUUGGAGGGUUUGGAGGAUAAUAAAUGCUCAUUAACUUGAUUUUAGUCUCUUUAGUACUUGGAUCGAAGCAUGGGUGAGGCUAGCAAGUUUUAGUCCCACUACUUUUAGUCAUGGAAAAUAAAACGUAUCCAGGCACCCUCCAAAUCCGGCAGGAAAUAGGGUCCAAAGUAGUCAAAUGAUUGAGAUAGAGCAUUUAUUGUCAAUCUAACCCUGCCAUCCAUACACCUCUUUGGUUUAGAGUUAGUUCAGGGUUAGAAUCUAACUCUAACCUCUAACUGAGUUAGAGUUCUCCUUGUCUCGGUUCAUCGUCAUCAUAGUUUCCCCAUUCCUAUGUUUUCAGUAUCCUGCGAAUCAAAGAGGCCCUUUUUUUGCGGGAAAAUCAAAGAGGCCCUUAGACUGGUUUAGGUCCGGUCAUUUUUUAUGAACAUGUUAUGUCCAAAAUUUAAUGAACAUGCUCCGGUUUCCAUGAAAAUAAUCUGGUUUCAUGUAGUAAUUCAUUCAUUUAUUUAUUCUUCUGCGGGGGGUUUGCAUGUAUUUCGUGAGGUCUGAAAUGUAAAGUACCCCGGCAUAUGCUCCGAGUCGUGCAUGCGCUACGACCCAGAUGCUCUAUGUCCCACAUGUCGGCGAAUGGGAGCACGUGGAAAUAGCCUAGGAGUACAUAUAGGAGGAUAAAUGCGUGAAAAAAUAUGUACUGUGAAGCGUAGCCGUGGUUCAAAAAGGAGACCUGAAGUGAUGACAGCUAUAGGUCGCACGCACCCAACUAGUGGCACUAGACAUACGACUAAUUUUUCCCUCAAAAAAAAGAGGCACGAGUGCUCAGUACUCCUAUUCUAUAAACAUGAGUCCCAUCUGACAACAGCGUCCGUGCUACAGCUAGCUCUCCUCUCUCGUUUCUCUCUUCUAAUUCUAAAGUCGGCCGACGCCCGGUUGGCGGGGGUGGGUUUUCUCAACUGCGGCCGCACCUCAUAGUGAAAACAUUACGACUGGAAUAAAAAUGCCAUAAACUCCCUCCGUUCAUAAAUAUAAGCCUUUUUAUAUACUAUUUCAAAUGGAAUACAACAUACAGAUGUAUGUAGACAUAGUUUAGAGUGUAGAUUCACUCAUUUUGCUUCGUAUGUAGUAGUCACUUGCUGGAAUCUUUAGAAAGACUUAUAUUUGGGAAUGGAGGGAGUACUAUACUAAUAAAACAUUAAGGCCAUGAGGCAAUGCAAUGCUGGUUAUAGGAGGCAAGAAGAAGAGAUGCGUCCAUCAAUGACAUCCACCUCCUCGACUCAGGGCGCCGGCCCACCGAACGAUGCCUAAGUAGCAGCGGCUUUCAUGGCCAGGUCUAUGUGCUUCUGAACAAUGGCGUCCAAAGAUUCCAGCCACUAGAAGAAGGCCAACGUCUUUCUGUCCACGCUUGCCUUGUAGUGGCCUAUGUAGAUGAUUUCCUCGUAGACGUGGAUGUGCAGGUCAACGGUUUCUUGACUGGCGAGGCGCUGCGCGGCGAGCGCAGCCUCGAGGUGCACAUUCUUCGUCACGACCUCCGGCACUUGCAGGGCCACCAGGGCUUGAAAGAGUUCAUCACUGUCGGUGUCAAAACCGGCGGAUCUCGGGUAGGGGGUCCCGAACUGUGCGUCUAGGCGGAUGGUAACAGGAGACGAGGGACACGAUGUUUUACCCAGGUUCGGGCCCUCUUGAUGGAGGUAAAACCCUACGUCCUGCUUGAUUGAUAUUGAUAUUGUGGAUGUUUACAAGAGUGGAUCUACCACGAGAUCAAGGAGGCUAACCCUAGAAGCUAGCCUAUGGUAUGAUUGUAAUGAUUGUUGUUGUGUCCUACGGACUAGAGCCAUCCGGUUUAUAUAGACACCGGAGAGGGCUAGGGUUACAUAGAGUCGGUUACAAUGGUAGGAGAUCUACAUAUCCAUAUCGCCAAGCUUUCCUUCCACGCCAAGGAAAGUCCCAUCCGGACAAGGGGCGAAGUCUUCAAUCUUGUAUCUUCAUAGUCUUGGAGUCUGGUCGAUGAUGAUAGUCCGGCCGAUGACAGUUCGGCUGAUGAUGGUAGUCCGGCUAUCCGGACACCCCCUAAUCCAGGACUCCCUCAGUAGCCCCUGAACCAGGCUUCAAUGACGAUAAGUCCGGCGAGUAUAUUGCUUGGCAUUGCAAGGCGGGUUCCUCCUCCAAAUGAUAGAAGAUUGUAACACCAGGAUAGUGUCCGGCUCUGCAAAAUAAAUUCCACAUUCCACCGUAGAGAGAAUAAUAUAUACACAAGUUCAAUCUGCUGACGUUUUUUGUGGCAUGACGUCAUGCCAGUACCAAGCCAUUACUUGAAUCGUUUUUUACUCUACCACCUCAGCGCAUUUAGCGAAGCGGUUUCCUUGGCACGUCUUGUCGAAGCAGAGAUCGUGUUCCCCCUUAAUCCGGGAUUCUCAUCAAUGCGGACAUGGGUAACCCAACCGCGCCAUUGAUGGUGACGCUUGGGGGAUAAGAGAGUUUUACCAGGCCGGUGGGGGACACGUAGACUUCGCCCGCCCAUAUAAGGGAUAAGGAUUCACCUUUUCACCUACGCCUUCUUCCUCCUUUGCUUAUCCAUCUCCGCGCACUCGAGCUGCAGCGCCCAAGCCCGCACAUCCCGUCUCAACCUUCCCCAGUCAUGUCUGGAGCGGGAGGCAAGUGGAUGACCUCCUCCGUUACGGAGGAGCACAUCGAAAGAUUGUGCAGCGCCGGAUACCUGUCCGGCGACAUCGCGCACCGGCUGCCCGACGAGGGGCAGCUCAUCCCCACCCCCAGGCCCCAUGAGAGGGUCGUUUUUCUUCCCCACUUCCUCCGCGGACUGGGCUUUCCACUUCACCCCUUUGUCCGGGGGCUCAUGUUCUAUUACGUCCUGGAUUUCCAUGAUUUGGCGCCGAACUUCAUCCUCAACAUCUCGGCGUUUAUCGUCGCGUGCGAGGCCUUCCUCUGCAUCCAGCCCCACUUCGGCUUGUGGCUCAAGACCUUCAAUGUCAAGCCGAAGGUAGUGAAGGGCACUCAAGCGGAGUGCGGAGGCGCCAUGUUGGGCAAGAUGCCGAACGUCCUUUGGUUCGAAGGGGCCUUCGUGGAAUCCGUCAAGGGGUGGCAAUCGGGGUGGUUCUAUAUCACCGAGCCGCGUGACCCUAAGUGGGUGGCGGCCCCCGAGUCCAGAUCUGGUAUCCCCACGCAGCUCACCUCUUGCAAAGAGAAGGGCUUGCUGUGGGGUAGUUUGGAGGAGGUGACGGGACUCCAAGCCUGUAUCCAGAAGCUGGUGAAGAAGCUCAGGCUGGUUAACGUGGUCCAAGUCAUGCUCGUCCGCCGGAUUCUCCCAUGCCAAGAGCGGGCAUUCAAUCUGUGGGAGUUCAAUCCGGAACAGCACCAGGCGCUGAGCGGGCUCUUCGACACGACGUACGAAGGCGCCUAAAGGGUGCUGUUUAAGGGCGCCGAAGCCCCCGCAUCCGCGACUGAAGAUCGCGGAUUUCACUCGCAGCGCCAAGCCGACGAGGUAAGUGAUUCUACCCCUUUACGGGACACUUGCUUUUCAUAGUUUGACUCUAUGCGGGUUUUAAUUUCCCCUUUUCCUUUGACAAGACUGGAUGAGGAAGGCGGAGCAGAUUAUCUACCCGACUCCUAUGCCAGAAAACCCAGUAGACGCUCGUCUAGCGAGGCUGCUGGUUCCGACACCGCACGUGGUGCCGGAGAAGAAGGCCAAGAAGGAGGCCACGGGUGCUCGAAAGAGUUCCUGUUUUCAGGUGUCCGACGACUCCAGGGCGGACUCCUCCCCCGAAAACGAGGAGGAGAAAGAGGACUCUCUCCCAGAGGGGGGAGAGAGGAAGAGGAGGGCUUCCCCAACAGGGGAGGCCGAAGGGUCCAAGAGGGGAAGGACUAUUCCCCCGGACAGCUCCGCCAACAUCAACGCUGGCGAGGAAGAAUGGCCUUCAAGGGCCAGGCCUCUGGCGAGAUCGUAAGUAUCCGGAUUCCUGAAUGAGUUAUAAUUUCUUUUUCUGGGUCACAUAGUGUCAUUCUGAUGCCGCAUGCUGCCUGUAGUCCGGCCAAUGAUGAUCUUCCCGCUUCAACGAGCGGGUCGUUGGCUCCAUCGGAGGUAGACUCCAUCCCGACCGCCUCCACCCCUCGCGACACUAAGGACACCGAGGUGGGAUCCCAAGAAGGGACCCCUUAGGGGGAGGCUCCGAAGGCGCCACAAGGCGGCCUCCCGGACUUUGUGCCGGACUCCAUAUCAGAACCCGCAGUGGUUCCGGAGUCCGGCCGGCGGCCCCUUCGCACGAAGGGCAAGACCGUGACGCCGGAGGCUUCCGUCCAACCGGAGGCACCAGACAAUUUGUUGGAGGCGCUCCAGAGCGCUUCCAUCGAGGAAGAACACCGCACUAUUAUGAGUGCGGUGAUUCAGAAGGUACAGCUCGCCAAGAGCGGGCUGACCGAAGCCUGCAGUAGCCUUCUAUCAGGCUUUGAGGUAAGAAGUUAAAAAUAUGCCAUGUAAUACCUCAUAGACAGUAGCCCCUGAUGCUCGGUUCGGUGUUCGGAAAGAAAAGCCGGACAGAGGAUCUGAAAAAAAAAAGAUAUUCGCAGGGUUGCUAAAAAAUUAUGUCAAUAUGGGUUGCAGGCUACGCUGCUGACCUCUGCCGCACUGACUGCGGAGGUCGGUGCUUUGAAGUAGGAGCUCGAGCGGUCCGAGCAAGAGCUCAGCCGCGCCAAGAAGCAGCUCCAGGACAAAGAAGGUGAGUAACACCACUUUGAAAUUGUACCUUACAGAAAAGGAUUUAGGUUGCAACAAAAAAUAACAAGGAUAACAUGGGUACUGCAGGGGCCACGAACGAGGUGGCGACCCUAAAGGAGGCCGUGUCUGCGGCCGAACGCAAUGCGGCCGCGGAACGAGCAGAGCGAGAAAAGCAGGAGGCACGGGUGACGGUGGUUCAGCAAGAGCUCCCGGCUCUCAUGGAAAGGCAUGAGAGUUUGGAGCGUGACUCAAAGACUCGAGAGUCCGAGCUUGUCUCGGCUCUCGAAAGUGCCAAGACUGCCAAGGCCGAUGCCCAUAAGUCCCUUCAGGACAUUGAGUUGGUGAGGAAGAUAGCGGCGGGUAAGGCAUUUUUCAUGCAAAGCAAGCAUGUGAAUGUAAAUUACGUGUUACUUACCCGUAUUCGGAGCUCUCUAGGGGCAUUUGCAGAUCUGCCUCGCAGUGUAUCUAAUGCCGCCGCAUUCUAUCGAGCCGAGGAGGGGAGCUCAACGGAGAAGGUCUUCUGGUCUCAGUAUGCUGAGGCCGGCCAUCCGGUGCCCCCUAGCGACCAGCUGAAGCAGCUGGUCGAGCUCCACAAGGCGGCCGAGCAGGCCAUGAAGGGCCUCGUAGUCCGGCUGUGGCCUGGAGAGGCCAUGCCUGGGAGCUACUUCGGCCUCGUGCGAUGGUUGGUGGAUGCGUGCCCCUGGGUGGAGGUUAUCAAGUGCUCCGCCUAUAUUGAAGCUGCUCGUCGGGCCCUUGCCCACGCAAAGGUGCAUUGGGUCAAGCUGGAUGCGGAGAAGCUAAUCACUGACGCGCCACCAACGGGCAAGGAAUAUCGUAUGCCCGAAAUGUACUAUAAGACUGUUCUGAAGGGUGCCCGCAAGAUUGCGGAUGAGUGCCCCAGGGAUGUAAUUAUUGAGUAAAUUCGCAAUGUGUUAUCCUGUGCGCUGAAAACUUUGUUCAUAUGCGCUAAGCAACGGUUGUUAAUUUAAAAUAUUUCCUUCUGUGCGGCCGUUUAUUAAAUCUGAGAGACGGCAAGUCGUCGGCUUCAGCCCCCAUGCCACGAGUGCUGGGGUGUUCGGGAUAAACUUGAGCACUCUUGUUCCCAUUUUUGGGUCCAUCUAGGGAGGCGCUCAACACAACGAACAAGGCAACCAGACUUAUAGUGCUUGAACACUAUCACUUAGCCUUAGAAUUCUAUAAUUUUAAAUUUCGGCGAAGCCCCUAGUAUUCGGAAGACCGAAUUAGGGGCGCUAUCCACGCCUUCGUCGGACAUUAUCCGGAACUUCGCUCGAAGCGGCAUAGGUCUUUAAGGACCCGAAAGGACCUCUCGAACAGCGACUAGUCUCUCGCCUUAUCAUGACAGUCAGUUUUAGCUUUCUCCACUGAGGCGUUAACCCGGCUCAACCGGGGUGCAAUCGCAGUGGUUCUCCCAGUGCUACCUUAGCCGAUAGAACGGAAACGUAAGGUGCCAAACAUGGGAGCCGGGCAAACCCAACUAUUGACCCAAGACAUGAUUCGGAGCCGAUUCAUAUAAUGCUAUAAGUUCGGGGUGCCGCACUUGAGAAAGUGUGCGGACUUUAUCACACCAUAAUGCGGGGAACAUAAGCCCCUGGUGUAUUUGGCCGUACCAAAAUGUACGGAUGCAACAUGUCGUAAAUGAACAUAUAUAUAUAUAAUGUAAUGCAAUUAUGGGCAAAAAGUGCUUCAUUUUAUUCGAGAAGAUCUGUUAUGAGUACGGAAUGAUACAAAUAGUGCGGAAAGCAAGGGAUUGGACGAAUUAAAGGCGUCUUCCUCCAGGGGUAGGCCGCGGAAUGGUGUAUUUAACAAAUUUAAUGCUCGUAAUGGAGACCACCUGAGUGUUCGUCGCGGCCUUUGUCCCUCCCUGGCUGUUGCAUCAUGAGUUCGGCAGGUUCGCCGCCGGACAGAGUUCUGUACAAAAAAGAGAAAAAUAAAAGAUAAAAAGAGCGACACACUUGGGAGCCCCUGGUGUGGUCGAACCGCACUCUGGGUCUGUUGUGGUUGUGCCUCUCCCCCUAUGCCCAUGGUAUCUCCAGGGCGUAAUUAUGUACGCGGAGAGUUUGUCUUACAAUUGAGCAAGGGCUGGGGUUGAGGCCGCAUUGCUAUGCGUGCUCGGAACGUGCCAGGUGGUCUUGGUUGACGUUGCUCCGGGCGCGUUUGGCCGUGUCCGGUCGUUUAAUGGCCGGACUCGAAAAUUGCCUUAAAAGGCUGCUCUGUACUUCUGCCGCGAGAGCCGCUGUAUGUUCCUCCGUUCGGAGGGAGCAUUCUGUGUUUCCAUUGACUGUGAUGACUCCACGAGGGCCUGGCAUCUUGAGCUUAAGGUAUGCAUAAUGCGGCACCGCGUUGAAUUUUGCGAACGCGGUUCGUCCGAGCAGAGUGUGAUAGCCACUGCAGAACGGGACUAUGUCGAAGAUUAACUCCUCGCUUCGGAAAUUAUCCGGGGAUCCGAAGACCACUUCCAGUGUAAUUGAGCCUGUACAACUGGCCUCGACGCCUGGUAUGACGCCUUUGAAGGUUCUCUUUGUAGGUUUAAUCCUUGAAGGGUCUAUGCCCAUCUUGCGCACUGUAUCCUGAUAAAGCAGGUUCAGGCUACUGCCGCCGUCCAUCAGGACUCUCGUGAGGUGAAAUCCAUCGACGAUUGGGUCUAAAACCAAUGCGGCGAAUCCACCAUGGCGGAUACUGGUCGGAUGGUCUCUUCGAUCGAAAGUGAUCGGGCAAGAGGACCAUGGGUUGAAUUUUGGGGUGACUGGCUCCAUCGCGUAUACGUCCCUUAGUGCACGCUUCCGCUCCCUCUUGGGAAUAUGCGUUGCGUAUAUCAUGUUUACCGUCCGAACUUGAGGGGGGAAUCCCUUUUGUCCUCUGUUGUUCGGCGGCCGGGUCUCUUCCUCGUCGUCGCUGUGUAUCCCCUUGUCACUGUUUUCGGCGAUUAAUUUUCCUGCCUGCUUGAAUACCCAACAAUCUCUGUUGUUGUGGUUAGCUGGCUUUUCGGGGGUUCCAUGUUUUUGAUAGGAGCGGCCGAGUAUUCGGUCCAAAUGGGACGGGCCCGGAGUGGUUCUUUUGAAUGGCUUCUUCCGUUGACCGGGCUUGGAGCCUCGGAAUCCGGCGUUGACUGCCGUAUCCUCAUUGCUGUCGCCGUUAAUGCGGCGUUUGUUUUUGUUUCGACGCAACCUACCAUUACAGUCCUUGGUAUUCGGACUGCCAGCGUUUUUGCUGAGGUUGUUGCUGCGAGCUAGCCAGCUAUCCUCUCCCGCACAGAAGCGGGUCAUGAGUGAUGUGAGGGCUGCCAUGGAUUUUGGCUUCUCCUGUCCUAGGUGCCGGGCCAGCCACUCGUCGCGGAUGUUAUGUUUGAAGGCAGCGAGGGCCUCUGCAUCCGGACAGUCGACGAUUUGAUUUUUCUUUGUUAGGAACCGUGUCCAGAAUUACCUGGCCGAUUCAUCUGGCUGCUGGAUUAUGUGGCUUAGGUCAUCUGCGUCCGGUGGUCGCACAUACGCGCCCUGGAAGUUGUCGAGGAAUGCGGCUUCCAGGUCUUCCCAGCAUCCAAUUGACUCUGUGGGCAGGCUGUUAAGCCAAUGCCGAGCUGGUCCUUUAAGCUUGAGCAGGAGAUAUUUGAUGGCGUGAAGAUCGUCGCCGCGGGCCAUAUGUAUAUGGAGGAGAUAAUCCUCAAUCCAAACCGCGGGGUCUGUUGUGCCAUCGUAGGAUUCGAUAUUAACGGGUUUUAAACCUUCAGGGAUUUGAUGAUCCAUUACUUCGUCAGUGAAGCAUAGUGGGUGUGCGGCGCCUAUGUAUUGAGCAAUAUCGCGACGUAGCUCGAGAGAGCGUUGUCUGCUGUGUUCGGCCCGGCCGGAGUAGUUGUAUCCGGCGUGACGGUAUUCGUCGUGGGUCUUGGGGCGCCCGCAUGAUCCAUAGAUAGAUCUGGAUUGUCUUGCCUUGUCCUCCAACAUAUCUCACAAGUCUGGCGCGUUCCCCCGUGGCUUCAUGCUUUUUGAGCGAUGCUGGAGUACGGUUUUGGUGGAGGGCUUGCUUGCCUCUCUGUCGCGGCCACGAGGUGGUCGGUCUGCCGUAUUGUGCGCUGGUGAUGCAGGUUUGUACGCUUCCUCCUCUAGUCGGGGGAGCAACUUGCGUUUUGGGUAACUUUUGGAGGGGCGUUCGAGUUCAUACUCUUCGGCCGCGAGGACCUCGGUCCAUCUGUCGGCUAGUAGGUCUUGAUCAGCUUGAAGCUGUUGCUACUUUUUCUUUAGGCUGUUUGCCGUGUCCAUUAGCCUGCGUUUGAAACGCUCUUGUUCGACGGGAUCCUCAGGCACGACGAAUUCGUCGUCGUCGAGGCUUGCCUCGUCUCCGGAGGGAGGUAAGUAGUUAUCAUCCUCGACCUCUUCGUCUGCCGCCCUCUCGUGAGGGCUUGCUUCUGCCUCCUCCUGCGCUGGAUCGUGCUGGAGGGGGUUGUCUUCGGCACUUUCCGGGGUGCUAUUAUCUCCUGUGCCGGAAUCUCCAUUCUUGCUGUGGCGGGAUUUAGAGCGGCGCCGCUGACGUCGGCGCUGGGGCUGUUUCUUUAAGGAAUCGGCCUCCGCUGCUUCUUUGCCAUCCCCAUCUUUUGGGGUGUCCACCAUGUAUAUGUCGUAUGAUGAGGUGGUCUUCCAGUGUCCUGUAGGCACUGACGAUGUCUUCGGAGUCGUAGUCGAGUACGUCGGUUAGAUCGUCGACGAUGGCUACGAAGUGGGUGGUGGGUGGGCUCUGAAUUUCUUCGUCGUCCGCGUCCCAACCGUCCUGGCCGUAGUUCGGCCAGGGCUCUCCGGAUAGCGAGAGAUGCUUCAGCGAAUUUAAGAUAUCGCCGAAGGGUGAGUGCUGAAAGAUGUCCGCAACAGUGAAUUCCAUGAUCGGCGCCCAAUCGGAUUCGACUGGUGGGGGCGCAGGAGGUUCGGAGUCCGGCAGAGAGUCUGGCACCUCGGAGUCAUGAGCUUUAUGCGGGACAAGGUAAGUGUUUGGCUCCAUCGCCGUAGAAGUCCUAGCUCCCGAGGCGGUGUCCAGCCAUCCGUCCUCGAUCUGAGCGAUCGGCUCCGGACUAUGGGUCGGAGCAGAUUCAUGUGCGGCCUCCAAGGUGCUGUCCGGCGGCAGAGUUAGGUCGUGCCCAUCGUGACAGCGCGGCACGCUCGGCUGUGGCUCAGGUCCAUCGAUGAUCAAGUCCCCGCGGAUAUCGGCCGUGAAGUUUAGGCUUCCAAACCUGACCUGACGGCCAGGGGCGUAGCUUUUGAUCUGCUCCAGAUGGCCAAGUGAGUUGGCCCGUAGUGCGAAGCCGCCGAAUACGAAGAUCUGUCCGGGGAGAAAAGUCUCACCCAGGACUGCUUCGUUGUCGAUUGAAGAGGCCAUCAAGCCUAUCGGUGAUGACACAGAGGAACUCUCAAUGAAAGCACCAAUGUCGGUGUCAAAACUGGCGGAUCUUGGGUAUGGGGUCCCAAACUGUGCGUCUAGGAGGAUGGUAACAGGAGACGAGGGACACGAUGUUUUACCCAGGUUCGGGCCCUCUUGAUGGAGGUAAAACCCUACGUCCUGCUUGAUUGAUAUUGAUAUUGUGGAUGUUUACAAGAGAGGAUCUACCACGAGAUCAAGGAGGCUAGCCUAUGGUAUGAUUGUAAUGAUUGUUGUUGUGUCCUACGGACUAGAGCCAUCCGGUUUAUAUAGACACCGGAGAGGGAUAGGGUUACAUAGAGUCGGUUACAAUGGUAGGAGAUCUACAUAUCCGUGUCGCCAAGCUUGCCUUCCACGCCAAGGAAAGUCCCAUCCAGACACGGGGCGAAGUCUUCAAUCUUGUAUCUUCAUAGUCUUGGAGUCCGGUCGAUGAUGAUAGUCCGGCCAAUGACAGUUCGGCUGAUGAUGGUAGUCCGGCUAUCCGGACACCCCCUAAUCCAGGACUCCCUCAAUCACCAUGGAGGCCGAUGAGGGUGGCAGGCAAUGAGGAGCCUGGGCGUGCGGGCUGGAGCAGUACAGCAAGGUUGUCCGCGCGCUUCUUUACGGUGGUGAACUUGCGGAUGGAGUUGACCAUCAUGUCGUCCAUGCAAGAGGCGAAGCCGGCGUCGGCGAGGGCUACGAUGCCUGCGGUCGCCAGCACCAUCUGGAAACGCUGCACGGUGCAGGUCCGCAGGCCGGCGCCUUGGAUGAUUUGGCAUAGCCGACUGCCGCUCGCGUCCAUCGCCUCCAUAGGUGCUUGUGGCUUUUGGUCACUUGGUCUUGGAUUGGAGUGAGCAGUGUUGCGUAGAGACUUGGGAGUAUAUGGAUUGGAGUGGUGAGGCGCCUUUAUUAUAUGAGAGUCCAAACUCUGUUGCAUUCACAUCGUGCUAGCUCUAUUCUGCUUCUCCAAUUAGUUCCCUCUGCAUGUAAUUGAGGAUGCAUCAUUGACCGUUCAACAUCUCGGGAACCGCUACCCUCUCCCUCCUUGGCAUUCAAGCACCUAUGGACUCGUCGACGACGACGUGCCUGUGGUGACUUUGUAAAUUUCAAGAUGAUAGUGCCAUGCAUGUGUGAAUUCAUAGGGGUGAGUGUAUGCGCGUGUAUAUGAGCGCUUGCGUUUGUACUGUGUCAAAAAAACCGUAAAUGCGUGUCAAAAAGAGACUAGUCAGUAUACUCAAUAUUGUGCACCUCGGAGAGGAAAAUGAUAGAACUAGUACGUAUUUAUUUAUGGUGCAGAUUCACUCAUUUUGCUCCAUAUGUACUCCGUCUCGGUGUAGUCUAGUCACUUGUUGAAAUCUCUAGAAGGGCAAAUACUACUUUCUUGUUUACAUGGCUAUACUAGAAAGUAGUUGUACGUACUAGUACAAUAGUGGGCUCACAUAGCAAUUUUGUCUCAUGCAACGUUCGGUUUGCGCUUGGCUCUUCGCCUCUUCGAGAAGACGAACAAUGAUGUUACUACUACUGCUUCUACAAUGUCGAAUCCACUGCUGCAUGUCCGUCCAUCGUGAGCAGGACAGAUAGCUUGUUGUAGAAGUACUACUAAGCAAAAGCCUAUCCUCGUUUGGGAGCAACCGCGCGCAUGGGCGAGGGAGAAGGCAUGUAGUAAAAUCAAGCUUCUCUUCGUUGUACGAGUUGACGCGACACAUCAUAGCACUGGCCCCACAUGCUUGCCUCUAAACUUGGCUGAAAGACCCGCAGUGUACAAUAUAUUUGCUGCAACCUCUAACAUUUACCCACCACAAAUUAAAAUAUAUGUGUCGUAUGCAUCAUUCUGAUGCAGAGGCCGGGGAGUCCACCCUUUUCGAAAAAAACAAAUUAAAAUAUAUAUUCUUGUCUUGACCAGAUGAGCGUGCAAACUACAAUCACCAGGGUGACAGGUAGGGCCAGAAGACUAUUUUAAUUUUUUUUAAAAACUUCGAGACUACUCUACACAUGAAACUGCCACACGAGCAUCCGAGCUGCACUUGGCUCUUCGCCUCUUCGGGAAGUCGAACAAUUAUGGAGUACUACUGCACCGGAGGAGUGCUACAGUACGCUUCUGGCCAUCUGACACCGAUUGAAUUGCUGCAUGUCCACCGCGUGUGGGAGGGAGAGCGUGUAGCGAAAGCUUCUCCUAGUCUUGCCAGCCACCACGCUCAUGGACGAGGGAGGGACGCUCCUGCCUUUGCAUGUAUGACCUGUGGGCCCGACAGGUGGGUGGCCAACCUGUCAUACAGCCAAAGGCAGGAGCAGUUAAGUCCGCGAGGGAGAGGAUAAUCAAACUUCUCGUUGAUGUACGAGUUGACGUGACACAUCAAAGCACUGCACUCGAUAUAUUUCAAUAGUUUGCGGUUACCGAUGCAUUAAUUACAACGCAUGCAUGCAUGCCCUAACUCUCCUUUUGAUACUUGCAUGUGUUAUUUAAUGCACCUUGAAGUAGUACUCCCUCUGAUUCCUUUUACUUUGCAUAUAACUUUUUCUUGUUUUUCUCAUAUUAGUCUGCGUGUCCGUGUUGGUUUCCAUCUGUGCCCCCGCUCGAUUAGUUCUGCCCCCAUUAAUCGCGCCAGUUUCCAAAGCAGAAAAUGGCUACAGGCAAAUGCACGCAGCGCCGGAUGCGGCUUGACCGCCUGGGGAAGCCAACUCAAGUGAAAAGGAAGGAGGACCAGCCAACCAUUGCAUGUGCAUUUACUAUCGACAUUUAUGCAGCUUACUCAUGCGCAGGGGCAAAUUUGUCCAGAAAACUCAAACUACCGCCUUCCUUGGUAUGCGGGAGGAGUGUUAUGCACAGAGUAUAAAAUAUGUGACGGUAAAGCUUUGUAAUGCCCCGGCCCAAGCGAGAGAUGGUUGUGCACGAGGAGGGCGAGAUCAUGCAGACGGAACAGGAACCGACGAGGGAGCUCACUAAGGUCUCGAUGGACCUCACCGUGCUCCACUGCCCCUUGUGCCUUCUCCCCUUGACGCCUACAGUGUAUGAGGUUCGAAUACACCUCGUCCAUUCGGCUGAUUGAGCAAGGUGUAGGUUUCUUGAUUGAUGUGCUAUUCAAUUGAUUUCUGCAGUGCAAGGGAGGGCACCUCGCCUGCGCGGACUGCCGCGUCGAGCGCCUGGAGAACCUGCGGUAGUGCUAGAAGUGCGAGCGCGGUGGUGGCUUCGACAUGCGGAAUACGGCGGUGGACACCGUCAUUUCGUUGCUGAGGGUAGAGUGCCCGCAUGAAGGUUGUGGGCUCUACGUCACUUACCACAAGCUCGCCGAUCACCAGAGCGUGUGUCCGCUCGUGCCUUGCAAAUGCCCCAUGCCCGUCUGUGCCUACGAAGACCCGCCGCCGGUGCUCUACCACCACAUCAGCAACGCGUAUCCCAUGCCCGUGCACAGGAUCCAAUACGGCAAGGUGCUCCAGCUGCAAGUGCUACUGUCGGAGCCAUAGCUCUUGCUGUUCGCGGAGGAGGACGGCCGCACGUUUUUCUUGGUCGGCGGCAUGCUCGACAUUGGCGCGCCUAUCACCGUGUCGGUGGUUUGCAUCAGAGCGGGGGCGUCCCCACUAUCGCACUAUGUGGCCAAGCCUUGGGCAAACGGCCCGCCGGGGGAGCCCAAAGGCACGACCGACGCCAUCAAGGUGGAAAUGGAGGUGACAAGCAGCAAGGAUCCCGGUGACGUCGACGUGCAGGAGCUGACCUUCUUCACAGUUCCGCCCAAGCUGCUGGCCGGGGCUAAGCUGGUGUCCCUCCACAUUCAGAUUGACAAGCUCACGUCCUAAAUGUUUCUACAAUGCCUUCUGUUUAUCUUAGUAAUAUGCUAAUAUAGGGAUUACCUCGGUCUACUUUAGCUUAAGAAAUGGUGUGUUUUGGUGGCGAUGCAACAAUUACUUUGACAUCAGAUCAGUAAUUUCCAAUAGUCGAAUGGAUAUUUUGUGUCUGUUGGAUAUAAAGUUCCUUUGGGUAAGAAGUGCUCCCUCCGUCCCAUAAUAUAAGAACAUUUUUUAUAGUACGCUAGUGUAAAAAUGCUCUUAUAUUAUGGGACGGAGGGAGUACUAGAUAAAAGGAGAUGUAUGUAGACGUAUUUUAGUUUUAGAUAUUCCCCUUUUUAUCCAUUUUGAUGACAAGCACUCCCUCCGUUCCACAAUACAUGCCUUCCAUUUGUCAAAAUACAGAUAUAUCUAGACAUGUUUUAGUAUAUAGGUACAUCCAUGAUAGAGCUAGUCGGAUGGUUGAGAACACUACAGUUCGUAGCUACAGAUGCAUGUGUGACUCCCAGAUGCAGAAGCCGGGGGUCAUCAUCCUGCUUUUCGAGAAAAAACAGACACAUGUGUGAAAGGACGAGUGCGUGCGUGCACCUCUUCUCUUCUUGUAUAACGUACUAAACUCAGAGUACAAGUUUUUGUGGGUGGCACGAUGGUGCGUGCGAGAAGUCCUGAGAGAUAGGUUUAAUGCGUCUAAAAAAAGACUAGCCUAUAGCUCGCCACGCGGCUAUUCCAGCCGAACGCCCCAUUAACCAUCAGAUAUGUAUACGACGGUGCCAGUUAUUGCACGUACACAGUAGAAAAAGUACACCACGGCCGAGAACACGUGCCCACGUAACACCAUCCGGGAAUAGUGCCGCACUUCGAAACUAGAACCGUUAAUAAAUUUUGAGCUUGCGUCUCGUCACAUUCCAAAUUACUCCAUGCUAUACUGAAUUGCAAACCUGUUCACACCAAUCACAACCUAAACGGUUUCCCACUUAGGAGUGUAUUAGUACUCGGUUAUAAAUACUAGUGUGCCAAGAUGACUGCACAUUCCUCCUCAACUCCUCAUCCACAAAAACAAACAAGUCAUUCAGCAUCCUUCCCUUGCGUCUGCCAUGGCCAGCAUGAGUUCUAGGUCGAGAGAUUGCCACCAUGGAGAGGCGAGUAUGGAUGCGGAAGCACGAGAGAUGUCCCGCCUCGCUGCGAAAGCAGCCGACAUGUCCCUCCGCGCGGAAGUAGCAGCACAGAGGUCCCGCCGCGCCGCUAAAGCAGCACGGAGGUCCCGCCGCGCCGUUGAUGCAGCAGAGUGUAGAUUAACUCAUUUUGCUCUGUAUGUAGUAGUCACUUGCUGGAAUCUUUAGAAAGACUUAUAUUUGGGAACGGAGGGAGUACUAUACUAAUAAAACAUUAAGGCCACGAGGCGAUGCAGUGCUGGUUACAGGAGGCAAGAAGAAGAGAUGCAUCCAUCGACGAUGUCCACCUCCUCGCCUCUGUAUGUUGUAUUCCAUUUGAGAGAAGCUCCGAUUUGCAAGAAGCUUAUACCCAAAUUUUUUCCUAUUUGGCCAAUUUUUUUACCAUGGCAUGGUACUACCAUGACAUGACACCAUGCCAAGUAUCAUGAUUUUAAAACCAAGUUUCUCAAUGUUCUCGACCGAGCCACGAUGCCCAGAUGUUUGAAUUUUAUUCUCAUUUUCUGCAUGGGACCUAGAAAUUCACCCAAGGACACAAAUGUGAUUUUUCAACUAACUUUGGUGCACGGGAGCAUGUGCUUGUAGUUCAAAUUUGAAUUAUGCACAUUAAAUGACCAAAAACUCAAUUAAUGUGUAAAAAAGGCCAAACGAAGCCGGAAUGAUUUCCAAAAUUUAACAGGGCACUCAUGUGGUUCUAUGAUGCCUUUAUAAAUAAACUCAAGGGGGACAAUGUAUGUCGUUUUGCACUCAAAGGUGACACGUUCCCUCUCAGAACCACGAGCCUUCUUGAGAGAAGCUUCGGUUUGCAAGAAGCUUAUACCAAAAUUUGUUCCUAUUUGGCCAAUUCUUUUACCAAAGCAUGGUAGUACCAUGACAUGACACCCAUGCCAAGUUUCAUGAUUUUCAGACGUGUUUUGGAUUUACAAGAAUUUAAAAACCAAGUUUCUCAAUGUUCUCGGUCGAGCCAUGAUGCCCAGAUGUUUGAAUUUUAUUCUCAUUUCUUGCAUGGGACCUAGAAAUUCACCCGAGGACACAAAUGUGAUUUUUCAACCAACUUUGGUGCACGAGAGCAUGUGCUUGUAGUUCAAAUUUGACUUAUGCACAUUAAAUGACCAGAAACUCAAUUAAUGUAUAAAAACGACAAACGAACCCGGAAUAAUUCCAAAAUUUAAAAGGGUACUCAUGUAGUUCUAUAUUGCCUUUGUUAAGAAACUCAAGGGUGGGGGGGGCAGCGUAUAUCGUUUCACACUCAAAGGUGGCACGUUCCCUCUUAGAACCACGAGCUUCCAAAUUGGCCCAAUUUUUACCACAACAUGAUAGUGCCAUGACAUGACACCAUGACAAGUUUCUUGAUUUCCAAACGAGUUUUGGAUUUACAUGAAUUUAAAAUCUAAGUUUCUCGAUGUUGUCGGCCGAGUCACGACGCCCAGAUGUUUGAAUCUCAUUCUUAUUUCUUCCAUGGGAACUAGAAAUUCAACCAAGGACACACAUGUGAAUUUUCAACCAACUUUGGUGCACCGGAGCAUGUGCAUGCAGUUCAUAUUUAGAUUAUGCACUUUAAAAGUCCAGAAACUCAAUUAAUGUAUAAAAAGGCCAAACGAACCCGAAAUAAUUCCAAAAUUUAACAGGGCGCUCAUAUAGUUCUAUGUUGCCUCUGUAAAGAAAAUCAGGGGGGAGGCAGCAUAUAUCGUUUCGCACACAAAGUUGACACGUUCCCUCUCGGAACCACGAGGCUUGUUGAGAGAAUCUCCGGUUUUGCAAGAAGCUUAUACCAAAACUUGUCCCAAUUCAGCCAAAAAUUAUACAUAUGAAAACAGGGUUUAGAUUAUCUCGAACAUCUCGCUACGUAGACCAAUAAUGUACUAUGAUUUGAACUCAACAUAAAAUGGAUACAAAUAUUUGAAUUGGAGAGUGUAUGGUACAUGUAGUUCAUAGUGAAAUAUGAUUACUGCUAUAUGCAUGUUUUUUGUUAUCAAGAUAAUAUUUAAAUUAUUGUAUAACUUGACAACAAUCAUAUCCAAAUAAGGAAAAUUGAUUCAAAUUUAGUCCAUAUGGUAGACGACAAUACAUAUGCUCCGGUUUCCAUGAAAAUAAUCCGGUUUCAUGUAAUAAUUCAUUCAUUUAUUUAUUCUUCUGCGGGGGGUUUGCAUGUAUUUCGUGAGGUCUGAAAUGUAAAGUACCCCGGCAUAUGCUCCGAGUCGUGCAUGCGCUACGACCCAGAUGCUCUAUGUCCCACAUGUCGGCGAAUGGGAGCACGUGGAAAUAGCCUAGGAGUACAUAUAGGAGGAUAAAUGCGUGAAAAAAUAUGUACUGUGAAGCGUAGCCGUGGUUCGAAAAGGAGACCUAAAGUGAUGACAGCUAUAGGUCGCACGCACCCAACUAGUGGCACUAGACAUACGACUAAUUUUUCCCUCAAAAAAAAGAGGCACGAGUGCUCAGUACUCCUAUUCUAUAAACAUGAGUCCCAUCUGACAACAGCGUCCGUGCUACAGCUAGCUCUCCUCUCUCGUUUCUCUCUUCUAAUUCUAAAGUCGGCCGACGCCCGGUUGGCGGGGGUGGGUUUUCUCAACUGCGGCCCCACCUCACAGUGAAAACAUUACGACUGGAAUAAAAAUGCCAUAAACUCCCUCCGUUCAUAAAUAUAAGCCUUUUUAUAUACUAUUUCAAAUGGAAUACAACAUACAGAUGUAUGUAGACAUAGUUUAGAGUGUAGAUUCACUCAUUUUGCUUCGUAUGUAGUAGUCACUUGCUGGAAUCUUUAGAAAGACUUAUAUUUGGGAACGGAGGGAGUAUUAUACUAAUAAAACAUUAAGGCCAUGAGGCAAUGCAAUGCUGGUUAUAGGAGGCAAGAAGAAGAGAUGCGUCCAUCAACGACAUCCACCUCCUCGACUCAGGGCGCCGGCCCACCGAACGAUGCCUAAGUAGCAGCGGCUUUUGUGGCCAGGUCUAUGUGCUUCUGAACAAUGGCGUCCAAAGAUUCCAGCCGCUAGAAGAAGGCCAACGUCUUUCUGUCCACGCUUGCCUUGUAGUGGCCUAUGUAGAUGAUUUCCUCGUAGACGUGGAUGUGCAGGUCAACGGUUUCUUGACUGGCGAGGCGCUGCGCGGCGAGCGCAGCCUCGAGGUGCACAUUCUUCGUCACGACCUCCGGCACUUGCAGGGCCACCAGGGCUUGAAAGAGUUCAUCAUUGUCGGUGUCAAAACCGGCGGAUCUCGGGUAGGGGGUCCCGAACUGUGCGUCUAGGCGGAUGGUAACAGGAGACAAGGGACACGAUGUUUUACCCAGGUUCAGGCCCUCUUGAUGGAGGUAAAACCCUACGUCCUGCUUGAUUGAUGUUGAUGAUGUGGGUAUUACAAGAGUAGAUCUACCACGAGAUCAAGGAGGCUAAACCCUAGAAGCUAGCCUAUGGUAUGAUUGUUGUUCGUCCUAUGGACUAAAGCCAUCCGGUUUAUAUAGACACCGGAGAGGGCUAGGGUUACACAGAGUCGGUUACAAUGGUAGGAGAUCUACAUAUCCGUAUCACCAAGCUUGCCUUCCACGCCAAGGAAAGUCCCAUCCGGACACGGGACGAAGUCUUCAAUCUUGUAUCUUCAUAGUCUUGGAGUCCGGCCGAUGAUGAUAGUUCGGCUAUCCGGACACCCCCUAGUCCAGGACUCCCUCAGUAGCCCCUGAACCAGGCUUCAAUGACGACGAGUCCGGCGCGCAUAUUGUCUUCGGCAUUGCAAGGCGGGUUCCUCCUCCGAAUAAUUCAUAGAAGAUCGUGAACACCACGAUAGUGUCCGGCUCUGCAAAAUAAAUUCCACAUACCACCGUAGAGAGAAUAAUAUUUACACAAGUUCAAUCUGCUGACGUAUUUUGUGGCGUGAUGUCACACCACCACCAAGCCUUUACUCGAAUUGUUUUAAUUGUACCACCUCAGCGCGUUUAGCGAAGCGGUUUCCUUGGCACGUUUUGUCGAAGCAGAGAUCGUGUUCCCCUUAUUCCGGGAUUCCCAUCCAUACGGACAUGGGUAACCCAACUGCGCCAUUGAUUGUGGCGCUUGGGAUAUAAGCGAGUUUUAUCAGGUCGGUGGGGACACAUGGUUUCGUCCGCCCAUAUAAGGGGAUAAAGAUCCACCCUUUUACCUACGCCUUCUUCCUCCUUUGCUUAUCCAUGUCCGCGAACUCGAGCUCCAGCGCCCAAGUCCGCACAUCUCACCUCAACCUUCUCCAACUAUGUCCAGAGCGGGAGGCAAGUGGAUGGCCUCCUCCGUUACGAAGGGGCACAUCAAGAAGCUGCGCAGUGCCGAAUAUCUGUCCAGCAACAUCGCACACCGGCUCCCCGACGAGGGAGAGCUCAUCCCCACCCCCAGGCCCCAUGAGAGGGUAGUAUUCCUUUCCCAUUUCCUCCGCGGACUGGGCUUCCCACUCCAUCCCUUUGUCCGGGGGCUCAUGUUCUACUAUGGCCUGGAUUUCCAUGAUCUGGCCCCGAAUUUCAUCCUCAACAUCUCGGCGUUUAUCGUCGUGUGUGAGGCCUUCCUCUGCAUCCAGCCCCACUUUGGCUUGUGGCUCAAGACCUUCAGUGUCAAGCCGAAGGUUGUGAAGGGCAGCCAAGCGGAGUGCGGAGGCGCCAUGGUGGGCAAGAUGCCCAACGUUACCUGGCUCGAGGGCACCUUCAUGGAAACCAUUAAGGGGUGGCAAUCGGGGUGGUUCUACAUCACCGAGCUGCGUGACCCUGAAUGGGCAGCGGCCCCCGAAUUCAGAUCUGGCAUCCCCAUACGGUCACCUCCUGGAAAGAGAGUGGCCGGACAUGGGGUGAUUCGGAGGAGCUGACCGGACUCCAAGCCUGCAUCCAAAAGCUAGUGAACAAGAAGCUCAAGCUUGUCAACGUAGUCCAGGUCAUGCUCAUCCGCCGGAUUCUCCCGUGCCAACAACGGGACUUCAAUAUGUGGGAGUUUGUUUCGGCGUAGCACCAGACUUUGAGCAGGCUCUUCGACACUACGUACGAAGAGGCCUGGAGGGUGCUUUUUAAGGGCGUCGAGGCUCCCGCAUCCGCUACCGAAGAUCACGUAUUCAGCUCGUAGUGUCCGUCUAGCGAGGUAAGUUAUUUUACCCUUUACGGGACACUUGUUUUCCAUAGUUUGACUCUAUGCGGGAUCUAAACUCCCUCUCCUUUGACAGGACUGGCUGAAGAAGGCCGAGCAGACUAACUGUCCGGCCCCUUUGCCAGAAGACCCAGCGGACGCCCGCUUAACGGGGCUGCUGGUUCCGGCACCCCACAUGGUGCCGGAGAAGAAGGCCAAGAAGAAGGCCACGGGCACUCGAAAGAGUUCCCAUUUUCAGGUGUCAUCGGACUUAUCGUCCGAUGACUCCGAGAUGGACUCCUCCCACGAAGGCAAGGAGGAUAAGAAAGAGGCCUCUCCCCCAGCGGGGGGAGGGAAGAAAAGGAAGGCCUCCCCCAACGAGGGAGGCGAAGGGUCCAAGAAGGGAAGGACUCUUCCCCCAGACUGCUCUGCCAACACCGGCGACGACGACGAGGACUGGCCUUCAAGGGCCAAGCCCCUGGCGAGGUCGUAAGUAUCCGGACUCCCGAAUAACUUCAUGAUUUUUCUUUUUGCCACAUGGUGUCUUUCUAAUGCCGCAUACAAGCCUGCAGUCCGCCAAGGAUGAUCUUCCCGCUUCGUCUAGCGGGUCCUUGGGUACAUCGGAUAUGGAUUCCCUUCCGACCGCCUCCACCCCCCGUGAUGCGGACUAUGCCGAGGUGGGAUCCCGGGAAGGGACCCGCCAGGAGGAGGAGGCCCCAGAGGUGCCGCAGGGCAACCUCCCGGACUUUGCACCAGACUCCGCACCGGAACCUGUAGUGGCUCCAGAGUCCGGUGGGCGGCCCCUUCGUAAGAAGGGCAAGACCGUGACGCCGACGGCCUCCGUCCAACCGGAGGCGCCGGAUAGCUUGCUGGAGGCGCUCAACGGCACUUCCAUCAAAGAGGAACACUGCACUAUCAUGAGUGCGGUGAUUCAGAAGGUUCAGCCCGCCAAGAGCAGGCUGACGAAGCCUGCAGCAGCCUUCUAACAGGCUUUGAGGUAAGAAUUUUGAUAUAUGUAAAAUAGUACCGCAUAGACAGUAGCCCCUGAUGCUCGGUUCGGUGUUCGGAAAGAAAAGCCGGACUGAGGAUCUAAAAAGAUAUACGCAGGAGUCAUAAAAAAAUAUGUCAAUAUGGGAUUGCAGGCUGUGCUGCUGACCUCUGCCGCAGUGACUGUGGAGGUCAAUACUUUGAAGCAAAGCCUCAAGCGGUCCGAGAACGAGCUCGGCCAUGCCAAGAAGCAGCUCGAGGACAAGGAAGGUGAGUAACACCUUACUAAAAUUGUACCGUACAGAAAAAGGAUUUGGUUGCAAGAAGAAUGACAAGGAUAACGUGGGUAUUGCAGGGGCCACGAACGAGGUGGCGAUCCUGAAGGAGGCGGUGUCCGCGGCCAAACGUAAUGCGGCCGCGGAGUGCACCGAGCGAGAGAAGCAGGAGGCGCGGGUGGCGGAGGUACAGCAAGAGCUCGAGGCUCUCGUGGAAAAACAUGAGAGUUUGGAGCGCGACUCGAAGACUCGAGAGUCCGAGCUUGCAUCGGCUCUUGAGAGUGCCAAAGCCGCUAAGGCCGAAGCCUACAAGGCUUUCCAGGAAAUCGAGGCGUUGAAGAAAAUAGCGGCGGGUAAGGCAUUUUUCAUGCAAAGCAAGCAUGUGAGUGUGAAUUACGUAUCACUUACCUGAAUUCGGAGCUCUCCAGGAGUGUUCGCAGAUCUGCCCCGCAGCGUGUCCAAUGCUGCCGCUUUCUAUAGGGCCUAGGAGGGGAGCUCGACGGAGAAGGUCUUCUGGUCUCAGUAUGCUGAGGCCGGACAUCCGGUGCCCCUUAGCGACCAGCUGAAGCAGCUGGUCGAGCUCCACAAGGUGGCCGAACAGGCCAUGAAGGGCCUCAUAGUUCGGAUGUGGCCCGGGGAGGCCAUGCCUAGGAGCUACUUCGGCCUGGUGCGGCGGCUGGUGCAUGCUUGUCCAUGGGUUGAAGUCAUCAAGCACUCCGCCUGUAUUGAAGGUGCCCGUCGGGCGCUUGCCCGCGCAAAGGUGCAAUGGGGCAAGAUGGAUGCUGAGAAGCUUGUGACGGACGCGCCACCGCCAGGCAAGGAGUAUCGCACGCCCGGGAUGUAUUAUAAGAGUGUCCUGAAGGGUGCCCGCAUUAUUGCGGGUGAGUGCUCCAAAGAUGUAAUAUUUGAGUAGACUCGCAUUUUGUUAUCCUGUGCGCUGAAAACUUCGUUCAUAUGCGCUAAGCAACGCUUGUUAAUUUAAAAUAUUAGCUUCUGUGCGGCCGUUUAUCAAAUCUGAGAGAUGGCAAGUCGUCGGCUUCAGCCCCCAUGCCACGAGUGCUGGGGUGUUCGGGAUAAAUUUGAGCACUCUUGUUCCCAUUUUUGGGUCCAUCUAGGGAGGUGCUCAACACAACGAACGAGGCAACCGGACUUAUAAUGCUUGAACACUCUCACCUAGCCAUAGAAUUCUAUAAUUUUAAAUUUCGGCGAAGCCCCUAGUGUUCGGAAGGCCGAAUUUGGGGCGCUAUCCACGCCUAGGCCGGACAAAGCCGGUUCCUCGCUCUAAGUGGCAUAAGUCUUUAGGGACUCGAAAAAAACCUCUCGAACAGCGACCGGCUCUCGCCUCAUCAUGACGGUCAGUUUUAGCUUUCUCCACUGAGGCGCUCACCCAGCUCAACUGGGGCGCAAUCGCAGUGGUUCUCCCAGUGCUACCUUAGCCGAUACACCGGAACGUAAGGUAGCAAAACAUGGGAGCCGGGCAAACCCAACUAUUGACCCAAGACAUGAUUCGGAGCUGAUGCAUAUAAUGCUAUAAGUUCGGGGUGCCGCACUUGUGAAAGUGUUUGGACUUAUCACACCAUGAUGCGGGAAACAUAAGCCCCUGGUGUAUUUAGCCGUACCAAAGUGUACGGAUGCAACAUGUCAAAAAUGAACAUAUGUAUAAGAAAGAAAUGCAAUUAUAAGCAAAAAGGUGCUGCAUUGUUUAUUCAAGAAAUACUGCCGUGAAUGCAGAACGAUACAAAUAGUGCGGUAAGCAAGGCAUGGGACUAUUAAACUUGUCCCCCUCCAGGGGUAGGCUGUGGAAUGGUUUAUAAAACAGAUUUAAUGCUCAUAAUGGAGACCACCUGGAUAUUCGUCGUAGCCUUUCUCCUUCCCUGGCUGUUGCAUCAUGAGUCCGGCAGGUCUACUGUCAGACAGGGCCUCUAAUGAACGGAGUCCUGUGGGUAAAAAAGAAUGAAAAAGAGAAAAAAAGGAACGACACACUUGAGAGACCCUGGUGUGGUUAAGCCGCAUUCUGGGCCUAUCGUGGUCGUGCCCCUCCCCCUAUGCCCAUGGUAUCUCCAGAGCAUAAUGAUGUACGUGAAGGACCAGUCUUGCAAUUUUGCAGGGGCUGGGGUUGGGGCCGCAUUGCUACGCGUGCUCGGAACGUGCCAGGUGGUCUUUUGUAGGUUACUCCGGGCGCGUUUAGCCGUGUUCGGUCGCUUAACGGCCGGACUCAAGAAUUGCCUUAAGAGGCUGCACUGUACUUCUGCCGCGAGAGCCGCUGUAUGUUCCUCCGUUCGGAGAGAGCGUUCAGUGUUUCCGUUGACCGUGAUGACUCCUCGAGGUCCUGGCAUCUUGAGCUUGAGGUAUGCAUAGUGCGGCACCGCGUUGAACUUUGCAAACGCGGUACGUCCGAGCAGAGCAUGAUAGCCGCUGCGGAACGGAACUAUGUCAAAGAUUAACUCCUCGCAUCGGAAGUUAUCCGGGGAUCUGAAGACCACUUCCAGUGUAACUGAGCCUGUACAAUUGGCCUCUACACCUGGUUUGACUACUUUAAAGGUCGUCUUUGUGGGUUUAAUCCUUGAGGUGUCUAUGCCCAUUUUGCGCACUAUAUCCUGAUAAAGCAGGUUCAGGCUGCUGUCGCCGCCCAUCAGGACUCUGGUGAGGUGAAAUCCAUCGACGAUUGGGUCUAAAACCAAUGCGGCGAAUCCGCCGUGGCAGAUGCUGGUGGGGUGGUCCCUUCGAUCAAAAGUGAUCGGGCAGGAGGACCAUGGGUUGAACUUCGGGGCGACUGGCUCCAUCCCGUAUACAUCCCUGAGUGCACGCUUCCGCUCCCUUUUGGGUAUGUGGGUUGCGUAUAUCAUGUUCACCGUCCGCACUUGUGGGGGGAAACCCUUCUGUCCUCUAUUGUUCGGUGGUCGGUUCUCUUCCUCGUCAUCACUAUGCAGCCCCUUGUCGUUGUUUUCGGCAAUUAGCUUGCCUGCCUGCUUGAAUACCCAACAGUCCCUGUUGGUGUGGUUAGCUGGCUUUUCGGGGGUGCCGUGUAUAUGGCACAAGUGAUCGAGUAUUCGGUCCAAAUUGGACGGACCCGGAGUAGUUCUUUUGAAUGGCUCUUUCCGCUGACCGGGUUUAGAGCCUCUGAAUCCGGCAUUGACUGCCGUAUCCUCAUUAUUGUCGCCGUUAAUGCGGCGUUUGUUCUUAUUGCGACGCGACCUGCCAUUGCGGUCCUUGAUAUCCGGACUGCCAGAAUUUUUGCUGAGGUUGUUGCUGCGGGCUAGCCAGCUGUCCUCUCCCGCGCAGAAGCGGGUCAUGAGUGAUGUGAGGGCUGCCAUGGAUUUCGGCUUUUUCUGUCCCAGGUGCCGGGCAAGCCACUCGUCGCGGAUGUUAUGUUUGAAGGCCGCGAGGGCCACCGCAUCCGGACAGUCGACGAUUUGAUUUUUCUUAGUUAAGAAUCGUGUCCAGAAUUGUCUGGCCAAUUCGUCUGGCUGCUGAAUUAUAUGGCUUAGGUUGUCAGCGUCUGGUGGUCGCACAUACGGGCCCUGGAAGUUAUCAAGGAAUGCGGCUUCCAGGUCCUCCCAACACCCAAUUGAUUCCGCUGGCAAGCUGUUAAGCCAAUGCCAAGCUGGUCCUUUAAGCUUGAGUGGGAGGUAUUUGAUGGCGUGAAGAUCAUCACCGCGGGCCAUGUGGAUAUGAAGUAGAUAGUCUUCAAUCCAAACCGUGGGGUCUGUUGUGCCAUCAUAAGAUUCAAUAUUCACGGGUUUAAACCCUUCGGGGAUUUGAUGAUCCAUUACUUCAUCUGUGAAGCAUAGUGGGUGUGUGGCGCCUCUGUAUUGGGCUAUAUCACGACGAAGCUCAAAAGAGCUUUGUCUACUGUGUUUGGCCCGGCCGGACUUGCUGUGUCCGGCGCGACGGUUGUCGUCACGUAUCAGGGGGCGCCCAUGCGAUCCGUAGAUUGAUCUUGAUUGUCUUGCCUUAUCCUCCAAUAUAUCUCGCAAGUCCAGAGCGUUCCCCUGUGGCCUUGUGCUUUUCGAGCGAUGCCAGGGUACGGUUCUAGUGGAGGGCCUAGAGGCCUCUCUGUCGCGGCCACGGGGUGGUCGGUCAUCCGUAUUGUGCGCUGGUGAUGCAGGUUUAUAUGCCUCCUCCUCUAAUCGGGGGAGCAGCUUGCGUUUGGGGUAGCUUUUGGAGGGCCAUUCGAGCUCAUGCUCUUCGGCCGCAAGGACUUCAGUCCAUCUAUCGGCUAGCAGAUCUUGAUCAGCUCUAAGCUGUUGCUGAUUUUUCUUGAGGCUGUUUGCCAUGGCCAUAAGCGUGCGUUUAAAAUGCUCUUGUUCGACGGGAUCCUCAGGCACGACAAAUUCGUCGUCGUCGAGGCUUGCCUCGUCUCCGGAGGGAGGCAUGUAAUUAUCAUCCUCUACCUCUUCGUCUGCCGCUCUCUCAUGAGGGUUGGCUUCUCCGUCCUCCUGUGCUGAAUCUUGCUGGAGGGGGUUGUCUUCGGCACUGUCUGGGGUGUUAUUAUCUCCGGUGCAGGAAUCUCCAUUCUUGCUGUGGCGGUAUUUAGAGCGGCGCCGCUGACGCCGGCGCUUGGGCUGUUUCUUGGAGGGGUCAUCCUUCGCUGUUCCUUCGCCAUUCCCAUCCUUUGGGAUAUCCACCAUGUAUAUGUCAUAUGAUGAGGUGGCUUUCCAGUGCCCAGUAGGCGCUGGUUCUUGGUCGUCUCCAGCAUCGUCGUCCAUACCGUCGAUGUCUUCAGAGUCGAAGUCUAGCAUGUCGGUUAGAUCGUCGACAGUGGCUACUAAGUGGGUGGUGGGUGGGCUUUGAAUUUCUUCGUCGUCCACAUCCCAACCGUCCUGACCGCAGUCCGGCCAGGGCUCUCCUGAUAACGAGGGGUACUUUAGCGAACUCAAGAUGUCGCCGAAAGGUGCGUGUUGAAAGAUGUCCGCAGCGGUGAACUCCAUGAUCGGCGCCCAAUCGGAAUUGAUUGGAGGGGUCGCGGGAGGUUCGGAGUCCGGCAGGAGUCCGGCAGGAGUCCGGCACCUCGGAGUCACGAGCUUCACAAGGGACAAGGCCAGUAUUCGGCUCCAUCGCCGUAGAGGUUGCAGCCCCAGAGGCGGUGUCUAGCCACCCGUCCUCGAUCUGCGCAGCCGGCUCCGAAUCGAGGGUCAGAGCGGGCUCAUGUGCAGCCUCCAGGGCACUGUCUGGCUGCAGAGCUAAAUAAUGCCCAUCGUGACAGUGCGGCGCGCUCGGCUGUGGCUCGAAUCCAUCGAAUAUCAAGUCUCCAUGGACGUCAGCCGUGAAGUUCAAACUUCCAAAUCUGGCCUGACGGCCAGGGGCGUAGCUUUCGAUCUGCUCCAGAUGGACAAGCGAAUUGGCCCGUAGUGCAAAGCCGACGAAUAUGAAGAUCUGUCCGGGGAGAAAAGUCUCACCCUGGACUGCGUCGUUGUUGACGAUCGAAGAAGCCAUCGAUCCUAUCGGUGAUGACACAGAGGAACUCUCAAUGAAAGCACCAAUGUCGGUGUCAAAACCGGCGGAUUUCGGGUAGGGGGUCCCGAACUGUGCGUCUAGGCGGAUGGUAACAGGAGACAAGGAACAUGAUGUUUUACCCAGGUUCGGGCCCUCUUGAUGGAGGUAAAACCCUAAGUCCUGCUUGAUUGAUAUUGAUGAUGUGGGUAUUACAAGAGUAGAUCUACCACGAGCUCAAGGAGGCUAAACCCUAGAAGCUAGCCUAUGGUAUGAUUGUUGUUCGUCCUAUGGACUAAAGCCAUCCGGUUUAUAUAGACACCGGAGAGGGCUAGGGUUACACAGAGUCGGUUACAAUGGUAGGAAAUCUACAUAUCCGUAUCGCCAAGCCUGCCUUCCACGCCAAGGAAAGUCCCAUCCGGACACGGGACGAAGUCUUCAAUCUUGUAUCUUCAUAGUCUUGGAGUCCGCCCGAUGAUGAUAGUUCGUCUAUCCGGACACCCCCUAGUCCAGGACUCCCUCAACUCCCUCCUCAUUCGAAAUCGCUCUCGCAGCCCAAACACGCGAAAUCCCCCUUCUACCCCUUCUACCCCUCAAUCUUGUGUCAAAACCGGUGUGGGUACGCUGGUAACUUACCCUACAUUUCGGACAAGCGCGUCCUUAAGCUUGGAUCCCCCUCCCCCUUCGCCCCCCAUUCGUACACCGAGGUCGCCAAAACCCGCGAAACCCCACGCUCCUCCGUCUGCCUCCCGACCGCCGCCCAACCGGAGACUCUUCCCUGACUAUGUCAUCCACCGUAACAGCUCGCCAUCCCUCAUCCACCGCACCGGACGAGGAUCCAUUGUCGAUCUCGUCGUCCCGCCGGAUCAGCCGCCCUGUCCUCCACCUCCAAGGAGCUACCUCGACGUUCACCUCGUCUAUCGCGCCACCUCAAUCCCCACAGCGCCGUCUUGACCUGCCCCACCGGAACCGCAGCACCCUCACCAAUUCCUCCGAUGAAGCCGAGGCCAACUCAGCGCCUGAUAUGUCUCCAACGUAUCUAUAAUUUUUUAUUGCUCCAUGCUAUUAUAUUACCUGUUUUGGAUGUUUAUGGGCUUUAUUUUACACAUUUAUAUCAUUUUUGGGACUAACCUACUAACCGGAGGCCCAGCCUGUAUUGCUGUUUUUUUACCUAUUUCAGUAUUUCGAAGAAAAGGAAUAUCAAACGGAGUCCAAACGGAAUGAAACCUUCGGUGGCGUGAUUUUUGGAACGAACUUGAUCUAGAGGACUUGGAGUGCAAGUCAAGAAGCAGCCGAGGCAGCCACGAGAUAGGAGGGUGCCCCCCCUUGUAGGGCGCGCCCCCCCUGUCUCGUGGGCCCCUCGGGCGGCCACCGACGUACUUCUUCGUCCUAUAUAAGCCUACGUACCCCGAAAACAUCCAGGGAGCAACCGAAACACAAUUUCCACCACCGUAACCUUCUGUAUCUGCGAGAUCCCAUCUUGGAGCCUUCGCUGACGUUCUGCCGGAGGGGGAAUCGACCACGGAGGGCUUCUACAUCAACACCAUAGCCCUUCCGAUAAGUUGUGAGUAGUUUACCACAGACAUACAGGUCCAUAGUUAUUAGCUAGAUGGCUUCUUCUCUCUUUUUGGAUCUCAAUACAAUGUUCCCCCCUCUCUUGUGGAGAUCUAUUCGAUGUAAUCUCUUUUUGCGGUGUGUUUGUCGAGAUCCGAUGAAUUGUGGGUUUAUGAUCAAGUUUAUCUAUGAAUAAUAUUAGAAUCUUCUCUGAAUUCUUUUAUGUAUGAUUGAGUUAUCUUUGCAAGUCUCUUCGAAUUAUCAGUUUGGUUUGGCCUACUAGAUUGAUCUUUCUUGCCAUGGGAGAAGUGCUUAGCUUUGGGUUCAAUCUUGCGGUGUCCUUACCUAGUGACAGAAAUUGUUGGGGAUGUAACUAUUCGUGUAAGCCGCCCGGGAGGGGCCGGGUUACACAAAGAAGACUCACCGGAAGGAAGCCCAAGACCAAGCAUGAAGAUGGUGGUUCAGUACAGGGUCUGAGGCCCACGGGUGAGUUGAGGCCCGUCGUAGUAAACCGUCAUAAUGGCAUGACUUGUAUCAUAAGGUAGAUUUAAUUAGUCACCGAGCCGGACACUGUUUAUGAGCCGACCGGUACUCUGUAAGCCGCAGGGCAUCAACCCGUGUAUAUAAGGGGAUGACCCGCCGGCAGCUUAGGCCAAGAAACAACUGAUCGAGAGCCGGACAUAGCGUAUCUCGCUCCCUGGUCAUCGAAACAUCAAUACCAACCCAACUAGACGUAGGCUUCCCUUCACCGUAAGGGGAGGAACUAGUAUAAACCUCUCGUGUCAUUUUUCCCGAUUAACCCCUUCAAGCUUCCUAGUUGCGAUGGCUCCACAACUAAGUCCUUUCACGAGGACAUCUGACGUGACAAUUUCACGACAGUUGGCGCCCACCAUGGGGCCAGCGCACGAUGGAUUUGAGUUCUUGAAGGGCAACUUCGAAGGGCUCAACGGAUACGUAGUGGGCCGGAUGACCAAGAGUCGCCGCGACAAGAUCUACAUCGACGACGAAGGAUGGGGCCCCGACGCCGGCUCAAUUGAGUACGGAUACCGGGUCCCCUUCGGCGGAAUUCACGUCUUCAUCGGCUGGAUCGGUGAGCCGGGCCCUAAGCCGGACAACUGCACCGACCUCGUCGAGACGGCUCAGCGUGCGAGAAAGGCCCGAGUUCAACCCGUCAUGAAGCAUGCCUUCAUGGGCUGCAUCCACGAAGAGGAACUUUCUGAAGGAUCUGAAGAUGGUGGUGAGACGGCCGUCCUCUUGGACGGUGAUUCGUCCGCCGGCUCAACAGAUUCACUAUACCAAGUCCAAGACGACGUGCUUGGGGGCUGUUCCGAUGGCACUAGUAUUCCGGACCCUUGUGAGCCGCCAAGAUGGGCAGGAGUUUUCAUGGCUGGGACUCAACCCGGCCAAAAUUCUAGAGCCGCUACAGCAAUAACGUCCGGGACAGGAGCGGCCGGGGCAGGAGGCCCUGUGCGCCCACCGGCUCAGGUGCUGAUAGAUCUCAUGGACAAGCUUACGGCCCUGUUAACCGCCACGGUUAUUCCUGCAAAUAAAGAUGAGCAUGACGUAGAGGUGGCACAUGUGCGUGAGGAGAUAGCUCAGGCCAAGGAGGCCUUGGCGGCUGAGGACACUAGAUUAGCCACAGAGCGGGCGGCUCUAGUUGCACGGGUGCAACAGCUACAGUCAGAGGCCUACUAGCUCAUGAUGAGCCUAAACGCAUCCAACGAGGUGAUGAGGAAGAGACAUCAGAAAUCACAGUCCCGUUUACCUCCGGUUUAUGAUACUCGGAAUCUUUUCGCUACACCCGGAGCCGGUCCAAGUAACCCGCCAGAUACAAAUCAGUUUAUGACAACCGGAACAGGAGGACCGACUCAGCCUCAUGGGAGUAUGGCUCCGCCCCGUUACGUGCCGAUACCGCCGGGUCACUUUUCCAACCCCAUGGAGAACUUAAUCGCAGCAUUGGCGCGCUUGGCAGCUCUCCCUGUGGUACGUCAAGCAACGCCCAGCGCCGUAACCAGCCGGGUGGCUAUAAUCCGGUGCAAGACCGAGUACGUCAGAAGAACAAGUGGGCGACUCAGCUAGCGGCUCAACAAACGGCUCAUCAAGGUUUCCCAGAGUAUCCGACGACUUCCGUUGAGACGGGAGUAGACACUAGAACUGGUGGUGUUCUUAGUUCGGUACCGGCUCUGCGUAAUGUGCGCCUACCCAAGGAUUUCAAGGGACCUCGAAAGGUGCCGAAUUACACGGCCGACUUGCAGCCCGAAGCGUGGAUCGAAAGUUAUGAGAUGGCCAUGGAGCUGUUGGAGGUCAGCGACGCAGCAAUGACUAAGUAUUUCACCUAGAUGUUAGAUGGAACGGCCCGGUCUUGGUUAAAGGGUUGAUGGAUAUAAAUUCACUAAGGUACUCAUGGACGGAGGUAGCAGCAUUAAUAUCUUCUAUUAUGAGACCUUUCGAUGCAUGGGAUUGACUGAUAAGAAUUUGAGGACAUCCAACAUUGUUUUUCAUGGAGUGGUUCCUGGUAAGUCGGCUUACCCAGUUGGCAAGAUUGAACUAGAAGUGGCCUUUGGAGAUGAGUAUGACUCCAGGGCUGAGAAAUUGACGUUUGAAGUGGUUAAAAUUAGGAGUCCAUAUCAUGCUCUGUUUGGGCGGCCGACUUAUGCUAAGUUCAUGGCACGGUCGUGUUACGUCUAUUUACAACUCAAGAUGUCGGGUCACAAGGGCACCAUCACUGUGCAUGGGAGUCGAAAGGUAGCUUUGGAGUGUGAAGAAGGCGACGCGGCUUAUGCUGAGUCUGCCUGUGCAGUAGAAGAGCUCAAAUUUUAUCAAGAAAAUGUUGACCCGGCGGAUAUGACCUCCCUGAAGAAGCCAACUAUAGAGCAUGAGCCAACGUUGAAGUUUAAAUCGGCCACUGAGACGAAGCUUGUUGACUUCACCCCAGGUGAUUCUUCUAAGCAAUUCAGCAUCAGUACAAAUCUGGAUCCUAAAUAGGAAAGCGCGCUCAUCGAGUUCAUCCGUGAGAACUGGGACAUCUCUGCAUGGAAGCCUUCUGACAUGCCGGGUUUACCGAGGGAACUCGUUGAGCACACUCUCAAUAUUGAUCCGAAGUAUAAGCCGGUCAGGCAGUUUCUUCAACGGUUCAAUGAAGAGAGACGGAAGGCUAUUGGGGAAGAAGUUGCCCGACUCUUAGCGGCCGGGUUUAUUGUUGAAGUUUUUCACCCAGAGUGGUUGGCUAACCCGGUGCUUGUACUCAAGAAGAACGGCACCUGGCGGAUGUGUGUGGAUUACACGGACUUAAACAAGGAUUGUCCGGCUGAUCCCUUUGCUCUCCCCGUAUUGAUCGAAUCAUUGAUGCCACAACGGGUUGUGAACGUUUGAGUUUUUUGGAUGCUUACUAUGGUUAUCAUCAGAUCAAAAUGGCAGUUAAGGACCAGGAGAAGACGGCUUUCAUCACUCCAUUUGGACCCUUCUAUUAUGUAUCUAUGCCGUUUGGGCUCAAAAGUGCUCAGGCGACUUAUCAACGAUGUGUGCAGAACUGUUUACACUAUCAAAUCGGGCGUAAUGUUGAUGCUUAUGUGGAUGACAUCGUAGUAAAAUCCAGAGAGAAGGAAACCUUGAUAUCUGAUUUGAAGGAGACCUUUGAUAAUCUCCGGGUUUAUAAGAUGAUGCUUAACCCGGCCAAGUGUGUGUUUGGUGUAUGCAGGCAGGCUCUUGGGAUUUCUGGUUUCGAACAGAGGCAUUGAAGCUAACCCGGAGAAGAUCAAGGAGAUUACCUCUCUGGCUAAACCGUCGUGCAUCAAUGAUGUUCAGCGACUGGCGGGUCGUGUUGCUACUUUAAGCCGGUUGGGUGAGAAGGCCCUACCACUAUAUCAGAUGAUGAAGAAAACAGACACCUUUGUCUGGAGUGAUGCUGCUGAUGCUGCCUUUGAAGAUUUGAAGAGACAGUUGUCAGAGCCACUAGUCCUUGCAGCUCCCAUUGAUAAGGAGCCGUUGCUGUUAUAUGUGGCUGCUAAUUCACGAGCCGUCAGUGUUCCUAUUGUGGUAGAGCAUAAGGAAGCUGGCAAGGAGCAUCCGGUUCAACGGCCGGUUUAUUACAUCAGUGAGGUGCUCAUUGAGUCUAAACAAAGGUAUCCACAUUGGCAGAAACUUGUUUACAGAGUGUUUAUGGCAAACCGGAAGUUGAAGCAGUAUUUCCAAAGUCAUCCGAUAAUUGUGGUAUGUUCUGCACCCUUGGGAGACAUCAUCCAGAACAGGGAAGCCACAGGACGAGUCGCUAAGUGGACUAUUGAGCUUGGGCCUCAUGGUUUCAAGUAUAUGCCACAUACUGCUAUCAAAUCUCAAGCCUUGGUGGACUUUAUCAAUGAUUGGACAGAGUUGCAGGCACAUAAGGAGAAUCCAGAUAACACAUACUGGAUUAUUCAAUUUGAUGGGUCCAGGCAGUUCGAAGGCUCAGGGGCUGGAGUUGUUUUAACUUCCCCUCGCGGUGAAAAUUUUUGUUAUGUGCUUCGGCUUAUGUUUCCCUGUACUAACAAUGCAGCUGAGUACGAGGCCUUGCUCCAUGGCCUCUAGAUGGCCAAAGAUAUGAAUUUGAGCCGGGUAAGGUGCUUGGGCGACUCAGAUCUCGUGGCUCAACAAGUGUCAGGCAAGUGGGACUCCAAGGAUCCCCUUAUGGCGGCUUACCGUCGUGAAGUAGAUGUUGUGGCUGGGCACUUCAGAGGUUAUCAAGUGGAGCACAUUGAUCGAAGAAAGAAUGAGGCGUCUGAUGCGUUAAGCCAGUUGGAAUCUCAGCGUAAGCCGGUGCCGCCUAACACCUUUCUUGAUGUUUUGCGUAAUCCUUCUGUCAAGGUGCCUACAGAGGAAGAACUAGCAGUGCCAGACCCAGACGUACAGCUGGUGGCUGCCCUUCACGUCAUCCCGGAUUGGACAGUGCCAUAUUUGGCCUAUAUGACCCGGGGAGAGUUGCCUGAGGAUGAGGUCUUGGCGAGACAAAUCAUCAGGCGGUCCAAAUCUAUGACGAUUGUUAAUGGCGAGUUACAUCACCUCAGUGUCACAGGGGCUUUUCAACGUUGUGUGUCGCCUGUGGAGGGUCAAGAGAUACUUCGUGAGAUCCAUGAAGGAGAUUGUGGUCAUCAUGCCGGCUCAAAAUAUCUUGUGGCCAAGACUUUCCGUCAUGGUUUCUACUGGCUGACGGCUCAUGCUGAUGCAGAAGAUCUAGUCAGCAAAUGUGACGGAUGUCAGAAAUUCUCACGACGAGCUCAUGUGCCGACUCAAGAGUUGAGGAUGAUUCCAAUUACUUGGCCGUUUGCAGUCUGGGGGCUUGACAUGGUUGGACCUUUCAAGAGGUCUAAGGAUAAAAAGACACACCUCCUGGUGGCAGUGGAUAAGUUUACAAAGUGGGUUGAGGCAGAGCCGGUCAGUAAGUGUGAUGCAGCCACAUCAGUUUAGUUCAUCAAAAAGGUGAUCUUUCGUUUUGGUUUUCCACAAAGCAUCAUAACUGAUAAUGUCACUAAUCUCUCCAAGGGUGCUAUGGAAGAGUUCUGUCAACGAGAACAUAUCCUGCUUGAUGUUUCGGCUGUUGCUCAUCCUCAAUCCAAUGGUCAAGCAGAAAGAGCUAAUCAGGAGAUCCUGAAGGGUAUCAAACCACGACUCUUGGUCCCUUUACAGCGGACUCCGGGUUCUUGGGUGGAGGAGUUACCCUCUGUACUAUGGAGCAUCAACACUACGCCUAAAAGAUCCACGGGUUACACACCUUUCUUCAUGGUCUAUGGAGCAGAGGCAGUCCUGCCAAGUGACAUCCGGCAUGACUCACCCCGCGUGGCGGCUUACGUCAAGGCUGAUAACAAAAAAGCUCGUCAGGAUGCACUUGACUUGUUGGAUGAGGAGCGAGACUUGGCAAUAGCCCGCUCGAUGAUUUACUAGCAAGACCUGUGCCGCUAUCACAGCCGCCGGGUUAGAAGCAGAACCUUUCAGGAAGACGACUUAGUGCUCCGGCUCAUCCAGGAUCAGUCUAAUAUGCACAAGCUAUCCCCUCCUUGGGAAGGACCCUUUGUGGUUAGCAAGAAUCUGAACAACGGGUCAUACUACCUCAUCGAUGUUCGAGAGCACAAAGACUCACAUAAGUCGGAGGAGGAGACCCGCCGGCCGUGGAAUAUCGCCCAUCUUCGGCCUUACUAUACUUGAGCCACCGGCUCUCAAGAUGUAUAUAUUUUGAUGUUGUAUAUAUUAUAUAAAGUAAUAAAGCAGGACCUCUGUCCUUUUUUCCCUCAAAAUGUUUAUAUGUAUUCUUUAUCAGGUGGUGGAAACUGCCAACAGGGAGCGGAUCAUAUCUGAAUCCGGCUUUCCCUUUGGUCUGACUUAUGAUCAUAUCUGAAUCUAGCCAUGAUCACUUGGGGGCUUCCUGUUCAAACAUAGGUCGUAUUCUACCAAAGAGAACAUAGCUGUCGGUACUCAUUUGAUCGGCAUACUGCCAAACCCACUUGGGGGCUUCUUGAUCAUAUUUGAAUCAGAGCUUAACCCCUUUGGGUCUGACGUGGAUCAUAUUCGAAUCAGCGUCAUUAAACAACUCUUAUGGUCACUUGGGGGCUUCCUAUUCAAACAUAGGUCGUAUUUGAACCAAAGAGAACAUAGUUGUCGAUACCCACUUGAUCGGCAUCGCCAAAGCCACUGGGGGCUAUAUGAUCGUAUUCGAAUCUUAGCUUAACCCCUUUGGACCGGUUUACUGAUCGUAUUCGAAUCAGAAGCCUUUAUUUAUUAUCCAUCAUAUUUUAUAAGCAAAGUUGUUUAACUAUCUUAAGACCUUCUUGAAAGCAUUCUGAGAUGAUCUUUUUGAUUCUUCCGGCUUAAUGUUGAUCACCCCUAGUUGUUAAGUGCCAAUCUUCUUGUUUCAUAUGUAGGAUAAGGCAAGUGAAUUUAAACAUCAAGAAAAUAAAAGAUCAACAUAAGCUGGAAAUAUAUGGUGAUGGCGGCUUACGAAAGUAUUAAGCGCCAUAAACAUGCGCGAAGGCAUGACAAAAUUAAGAGGUUUUUUACCCUAUUACAAGACUCCCCGAGUCUAAAUAAUGCAGGAUUGUUUUGCAAAGUCUUAAACGCCUGGCGGUUCACUCGUUUGGUGGGCUUGAAGACUCCAGGUUAUCCUUCUCCUUUUCUCCGUUGGUUGCUUUGUCCUGGAAAGUUGACGAGGCCCAGUCAAUGCCGCUCAAGGCUUCAAACUCAGCUUCAUCAUCUAUUAAACCUGCUGGGUCCACUUAAGGGGCAAAAAUAUGCUUACGAAUUGGAGGGAUCAGGCUGACUUGAUCAUAUGGAGUGUUUGGAAUUCUCCGGUUUUCACUUUCAUAGCCUGGCGAAUACUUGGUAAGGUCAGUGUCGUUCCCAAUGAGGGUCGCCACGGGACGUAUGUCUUUGACACAGGUGGUGAAAUCUUGAUCAUCAAAAAUGGUACCAUCCUCUUUCAGACUCGGGUAUCCAAGAGCGAGGUCGGCCGGGUCUAGUUCUGGAAUCCAUGCCUUUGCCCGGCUCAACGCGGCUACGGCUCCGGCUCUUGCAGACGCCCACCUUAAGUCCUAGAUCCGCUGAGGUAGCACAGCGAGACACCUCAGCACGUCUUGAAGAAGGUGGGGAGUAUCAUUUUAUGAAGCUACAAUAGCCAAAGCACGUUGUGACCCGGUGUACAGCUGCUCCACUAGAGUGUAAACCGCUUUCAGCUUGAUCAACAUAUUCUGUUUGAGGUUUGUGCUUCUGGGGCCUGCGUUCACAAACACAAAGUGAGCCGGAGAUAACGAUUACAAUAGUCAUCAAAGGAAGGAUAUGUUUGAGGUUAUGUGCAGUAACUUACCGAAGAUGGUUAGACCAUUUGAGAUAUAUGGCGCUUUAAGUCGGAUAGCUCGGUUGUUGCUUCUGCAAGUGAUGCCUCUGCCGUUUCGGCCCGGGUCACUAGUGAAGCCUUCUCAUCAGACCAGAUUUUCAUUUCCGCCUCAAACUCCUUCUUCAAUUUCUCUUGUUCAGAGACGCUGAAUUCAAACUUGGAGUUGGCCUUUUGGAUUUCAAGCUCUUGAGCUGUCAGGCGACUCUUCAGAUCAUUAAUUUCCGAUUCAAAUUUACUUAUGCUGGCCUGCAUUGAUGCCGGGUUAUAGUUAGAAUCAUGUUAAGGUAACAUUAAGUCCCAAGCACUUUGCAAGCAAAGAUACUUGGCACUUGGGGGCUAAUGUAUGUUGAAGGUUUUUAAUUAACAAGGCCGGUUUAUGUUAAGAAAUAUGGUAAGAUGACAUUAAGUCCCAAGCACUUUGCAAGCAAAGGUACUUGGUACUUGGGGGCUAAUGUACAGCGCAGUUCAAGGCAUCAUGUUACAAUCGGAUUAAAUAUCUUCUUUUUUUGAACCGGACAAAGCAGGAUUAAGCAGUUUUCUAAGUCUACAGCAUAUUUAUUCAUAAGCAAUAGACUUGGGGUCUGAUACAGUAAGUAAGAAUCAGGAAAAUAGCAUAAAUUAUACCUCAGAUUUGUGCUCUAUUUGUUUCACCAUGUCAAUUUCCAGAUCACGACUGUUAUGCACUUGAUUCAGAUAGCCCGAGACUAUGUCUCCAAUGCUUAAAUGAGUAUAAUCAGUAAUGUCCAGCUUGGCUUUUCGGCGUCCAGUAAGUUCCUCCUUAGCAGAGCAUUUGGCAAGGACAGUGGGUCGCCCUGGCUCAACAAACUGAGACCCCAGAACCUCAGCUUCCGAGUCAUUUGUCUUGACCGGGCUAGGAGCUUCCGGGUUGUCAGAGCUGUUGAGAGUAUCUUCGGCAGGCGGGUCAGAGGUUGGCACCGGAAUAUCAGAAGCUGGUUCAGGCGACGGCUGAUGGGUGGAACUGUCAGGAGCAGCUGUGCCAAGCUCCGGUUCAGCCACGACCGGGUCUUGGGACGGCUUAUUCUUCUUUGCCCUCUUACUGGGCUUCACUUGCAUACUGCCAACAAAGGUAGAAGGAUGAAUACAAAAGUGUGAGUAAGGUAAAGCCUAAGGUAAACAAAGUUACAUUACCUGGGGGCAGUUUUGAAAGCCGGCAUGUUAGACUGCAUAGGCUCACCGGAGGAAGGAGAAGUAUCCUAAUAAUUGGAGUCAGAUGAAUUGAGAGGUUGACGAAUUAAACCCGCCAAAGAUAAAACAGAACGUAAAUCGGAGAUAACCUCAGUUCGACACUUCUUGGUUACAUCAGGCAAGACGGAGGAGAGUUCAACGUCCUUGCUGGUCCGGGUCUUCCUCCGGCUUUCUAAUUGUUGUUGCUUCAAAAGAAAUUGAGGAUCUUGGUAAGCCAAAGGAUGUGAAAAUCUUACUUUCCGGGUUACUCUUCGAAUUUUCUGACGCGGCAGAGGCUCGGAGUCAGAGGAAAUUAUAGUUACCUCUUGCUCGGCAGCUCGGCUGUUCCCUGUGUCUUCCUGGAAAGAUUUAAAGUCAGUAAAGUAAUGAUAAAGAGUCAAGGGAGUUAGAAAUUACCUCUUCUUCGUCAUCAGAAUAGUCAAGGGAGUUAGAAAUUACCUCUUCUUCGUCAUCGGAGUCAAGGAAGCUCCUAUUUUUGUGUUUUUCCUCUCGGUUCUCUUGGCCACUCUGGCUUGUUUGGCGGCCUCAUGGUCAUACUUGACCUUCAAAAAGUUGUCAUCGGCCUGUGGAGAAGAUAAGGGGGUUAUGAGUGAAAGUAAGGUGUAAAGCACUGAAAGAGUAUUCAUGAAGGAUUAAUUACUUACUGCGGGGCCUGGUUCUUCUUGCAGAAAGGAAGUAAGCCAAAGGCGUUAGUAGUCACGGUGCCCUCUUUCAGCAAGGUUUGGGUCGUAGCCUCCACCACAUCAUCUGGCAAGUCAUCGGAACUAUGACGUAGUGGAUCAUCCUUCUCGCCUGAAUAACUGCACAUUAAGCCGGGGCGGCGGAUUAACGGGAGCACUCGUCAAGCGACCCAGACUCGGACCAAGUCAAUGCCAUUCAAGCCGUUGCCUAAAAGGGCUUUGAUCUUCUUGAUGGUAGGAGCAAGUGAUAGGCGUUCAACAGUGGUUAACUUAUCCGACAGCGGGUGAUUUGACUCAAGGCACAGAGCGCGGAAGCCGGGCAAAGGGUUCUCACCAGCCGGAGAAGUGUCCUGGCAAUAGAACCAUGUCUGAUUCCAAUCUUUCAGAUGACUCGGCAGUUCAGCAUAAGGAAAAAGGCAGUCUCUUCGCCGCUGAAUUGAGAUGCCACCAAGUUCAAGACUGGGCCCGUUGGCGCGUUCAUUCUGCCGGUUUAAAUAGAAAAUCUCUCUGAACAAAAGAAGAUUGGUCUCUUCUCCCAGGUACAAUUCGCAGAAGACUUGGAAGUUGCAAAUAUUUGACACGGAAUUGGGUCCAAUGUCUUGAGGCCUAAGGUCAAAGAAAUUCAAAACAUCCCUGAAGAAUUUUGAACCGGGUGGAGCAAAUCCCCGGCUCAUAUGAUCCGUAAAAACUAUCACCUCCCCUUCUUUGGGAUGAGGCUUCUCCUCGGACGGGUCAGGGGCACGAUAAGACAUGACCUCCUUCUUGGGCAGAUGGCCAGACUUUACAAAUUCUGACAGUUUGCUCCGGGUAACUGUGGAUGGGACCCAAUUACAGGUUACAGGAGCCUUGGUUGCCUUAGGUGCCAUGACGACAGUUGGCCUAUGACAAAAUAAAGGUUCCGGUUCAAAUUUAACCCGGCAGAAGGCAUUUUAAUUAUUCAAGGUGGCGGCUUAAGAAGGGGCCUAAUGAUAUAUGGAUAACUAUGCAACAAUAAUUAAGUCGCUACAGGUGUCACGAGCAGUUAAGUUUUCUUAAGUCAUGAGAAGAAAGAAAGGUUCACAGACCAGUGGCAUUUAUUUAAACCUGCUACAAGGACAGUCAUGGUUAAACAUAUUCGACAGAGGAAGUUUUUUAUUUUCCGGGUGAAACAAACAGGUUUCACAAGUUGCCGCUAUUAUUUUGGAUCAAACAGCUGUUCUAAAAAGAAAAUUUUCUAGACCUAGAACUGGGACAGAGGAAGUUCGAGGGCUCGAAUAGAGCCUCUGUGUGAUAUAAAGGGAUCUACUUGCAGCCAAAAUGGGUGUGAAAUAGCUACCGCGUCAGUUUAUACUAUCUUCAAGAUCAAGGAACAGUUGUGAUGAUGAAAUCUACGAAGGGUUCCUGACGAACAGCGAAGAACACCGAGGAACUCGAAGGUCCCGAUACAGAUCUGAGGAACAAGGAGGAGGAGACUUACAGAUGCAAGGUUGCUACAGAGGGUCGUCACGUUUUUCUGGUCCAACCAAGUUGAUGCAGCGGCCUGAAUUGGUGAAGACGAGGAGAUCUGCGAUGGCGGCGGCGGCGGAUCUCGAGCGACAGAGAAGCAGCAAGAGGAAGAAGACGACUGAAGGGGGAGAAUGGGAAAGACCUAGGUCGUGCCUAUUUACAAGGAAAGGAUGACUGAGACGGGACGAGAAACAAGGAGAUAAGCAUUAUUAUCCAGUGGCCCCGACGCCUCGGUUUUAGGAAUGGUCAGUAAAGGCAAAGAUCCGUUGGAGGAUAUGGUGGAAUAAAGAAUGAAUUUAAGUGAAGAUGACGUCACGGCGGGUUAACGCGGAUCCAAAAGAUGACGUCGUGGCGGGUUAAGGAAAACCUUUGUCAUAGGCAGAAGGCUGAAGAUUUAUUUCUUAAAGAUAUGUUAAGAUUGACAUGAACCGGUUCAAAUAUAUCUGGGGCCUAAUGUUGGGGAUGUAACUAUUCGUGUAAGCCGCCCGAGAGGGGCCGGGUUACACAAAGAAGACUCACCGGAAGGAAGCGCAAGACCAAGCAUGAAGAUGGCGGUUCAGUACAGGGUCUGAGGCCCACGGGCGAGUUGAGGCCCGUCGUAGUAAACCAUCAUAAUGGCAUGACUUGUAUCAUAAGGUCGAUUUAACUAGUCACCGAGACGGACACUGUUUAUGAGCCGGCCGGACUCUGUAAGCCGCAGGGCAUCAACCCGUGUAUAUAAGGGGACGGCCUGCCGGCAGCUUAGGCCAAGAAACAACUGAUUGAGAGCCGGGCAUAGCGUAUCUCGCUCCCUGGUCAUCGAAACAUCAAUACCAACCCAACUAGACGUAGGCUUCCCUUCACCGUAAGGGGCCGAACUAGUAUAAACCUCUCGUGUCCUUUGUCCUGAUUAACCCCUUCAAGCUUCCUAGUUGCGAUGGCUCCACAACUAAGUCCUUUCACGAGGACAUCCGACGUGACAAUUCCACGACAGAAAGGGUUGCAAGGCACGUAUUGUAUUGUUGCCAUCGAGGAUAAAAAGAUGGGGUUUAUAUCAUAUUGCAUGAGUUUAUCCCUCUACAUCAUGUCAUCUUGCUUAAGGCGUUACUCUAUUCUUAUGAACUUAAUACUCUAGAUGCAGGCAGGAGUCGGUCGAUGUGUGGAGUAAUAGUAGUAGAUGUAGGCAAGAGUCAGUCUACUUGUUGCGGACGUGAUGCCUAUAUACAUGAUCAUGCAUAGAUAAUCUCAUAAUUAUUCUCUUUUCUAUCAAUUGCUCAAUAGUAAUUUGUUCACCCACCGUAAUACUUAUCCUAUCUCGAGAGAAGCUUCUAGUGAAACCUAUGGCCCCCGGGUCUAUCUCUUAUCAUAUUUGCUUCCAAUCUACUUUUAUUCGCAUCUUUACUUUUUGCAUCUAUAUUAUAAAAUACCAAAAAUAUAUUUAUCUUAUCAUACUAUCUCUAUCAGAUCUCACAUUCGCAAGUGGUCAUGAAGGGAUUGACAACCCCUUUAUUGUGUUGGUUGUGAGUUCUUGGUUUGUUUGUGUAGGUGCGUGGGACUUUUGAGGAGCCUCCUACUGGAUUGAUACCUUGGUUCUCAAAAACUGAGGGAAAUACUUACGCUACUAUUGCUGCAUCACCCUUUCCUCUUCAAGGAAAACCAACACAAGCUCAAGACGUAGCAAGAAGGAUUUCUGGCGCCGUUCCCGGGGAGGUCUUCGCUCAAGUCAAGACAUACCACGUACUCAUCACAAACUCAUCUCCCUCGCAUUUACAUUAUUUGUCAUUUGCCUCUCGUUUUCCUCUCCCCGACUUCACCUUUGCCGUUUUAUUCACCCUCUCUUUCCCAAUCUCCUCCUCUCUUUUCGCUUGCCUUUUCUGUUUGCUUGUGUGUUGGAUUACUUGUUGCCAUGGCGCAAGACAAUACCAAAUUGUGUGAUUUCUCGAAUACCAAUAAUAAUGUUUUCCUUAGUACUCCGAUUGCUCUUCUUAAUGAUGUUGAGUCUUGUGAAAUCAACGCUGCUUUGCUGAAUCUUGUUAUGAAAGAUCAAUUUGCUAGCCUUCCUAGUGAAGAUGUCGUUUCUCAUCUAAACAACUUUGUUGACUUGUGUGAUAUGCAAAAGAAGAAAGAUAUCGAUAAUAAUAUUGUCAAAUUGAAGUUAUUUCCGUUUUCACUUAGAGCUCGUGCUAAAUUUUGGUUUUCGUCUUUGCCUAAAAAUAGUAUUGAUUCUUGGAACAAGUGCAAGGAUACUUUUAUCUCUAAGUAUUUUCCUCCCGCUAAGAUUAUCACUAUUAGGAACGAUAUUAUGAAUUUUAAACAACUUGAUCAUGAGCAUGUUGCCCAAUCUUGGGAAAGAAUGAAAUUGAUCAUUCACAAUUGCCCUUCUUAUGGUUUGAAUUUAUUGAUGAUCAUACAAAUUUUUUAUGCCGGUUUGAACUUUGCUUCUAGAAAUCUUUUAGAUUCGGCUGCGGGAGGCACGUUCAUGGAAAUCACGUUAGGAGAUGCUACAAAACUUCUUGAUAAUAUUAUGGCUAAUUAUUCUCAAUGGCACAACGAAAGAUCUUCUAGUAAAAAAGUGCAUGCUAUAGAAGAAAUCAAUGUUUUGAGUGGAAAGGUGGAUGAACUUAUCAAGUUGUUUGCUACUAAAAAUACUCCUCUUGAUCCCAAUGAUAUGCCUUUGUCUACUUUGAUUGAUAAUAAUAAUGAAUCUAUGGAUGUGAAUUUUGUUGGUAGGAAUAGUUUUGGAAACAAUGCUUAUAGAGGAAACUUUAAUGCUAGACCGUUCCCUAGUAAUUCCUCUAAUAAUUAUGGAAAUUACUCCAAUAAUUCUUAUGGUAAUUUUAAUAAUAUGCCCUCCGAUUUUGAGAAUAGUGUGAAAGAAUUUAUGAUUUCUCAAAAGAAUUUUAAUGCCUUGCUUGAAGAAAAAUUGCUCAAAGUUGAUGAUUUGGCUAGGAACGUUGAUAGACUUUCGCUUGAUGUUGAUUAUCUUAAACUUAGAUCUUCUCCUACUAAGCAUGAUAUCAAUGAGUCUCUCAAAGUAAUGAGAAUUUCCAUUGACGAGUGCAAGGAAAGAACCGCUAGAUUGCGUGCUAAGAAAGAUAGCUUUAUAAAAGCGUGUACUUCUAGUUUCCAUGAAAAUAAUGAUGAGGAUCUUAAAGUUAUUGAUGUGUCUCCUAUUAGAUCUAUGUUUUGCAAUACGAAUCUUGAUGAUAAUGGGACUGAUGAUGAGUCAACUUUACCUAGAAGGCGUCCCAAAAAUUUGGAGUUUUUAGAUCUUGAUGCUAAAUUUGGUAAAAGUGGGAUUGGAGAGGUCAUGACUUUAAAUAGUAUUGAACCCACUAUCCCGGAUUUCAAGGAAUUUGAUUAUGAUAAUUGUUCUUUAAAAGGUUGUAUUUCCUUGUUGCAAUCCGUUGUUAAUUCUCCUCAUGCUUAUAGUCAAAAUAAAGCUUUUACCAAACAUAUCGUUGAUGCCUUGUUACAAUCUUAUGAUGAAAAACGUAAUUUGGAAGUUUCUAAACCAUAAGGAAGUUGGAAUACAGUAGGUUUAACACCAAAAUAAAUAAAGAAUUAGUUCAUUACAGUACCUUAUGUGGUGGUUUUGUUUUCUUUCACUAACGGAGCUUAUAAGAUUUCAUGUUGAGUUUUGUGUUGUGAAGUUUUCAUGUUUUGGGUAAAGCUUUUAUGGACUAUGGAAUAAGGAGUGGCAAGAGCCUAAGAUUGGGGAUGCCCAAGGCACCCCAAGAUAUUCAAGUAUAGCCAAAAGCCUAAGCUUGGGGAUGCCUCGGGAAGGCAUCCCCUCUUUCAUCUUCGUUCAUUGGUAACUUUACUUGGAGCUAAUUUUUAUUUGCCACAUGAUAUGUGUUUUGCUUGGAGCGUCGUGUAUUAUAUUAGUCUUUGCUUUUUAGUUUACCACAAUCAUCCUUUAUGUACACACCUUUUGGGAGAAGCCUACUUGAUUAGAACUUGCUAAAAUACUCUAUGUGCUUCACUUAUAUCUUUUGAGCUUGAUAGUUUUUGCUUUAGUGCUUCACUUAUAUCUUUUAGAGCACGGCGGUGGCUUGAUUUUAUAGAAAUUGCUAGUCUCUCAUGCUUCACUUAUAUUAUUUUGACAGUCUUUUAGAACAGCAUGGUAUUUUCUUUGGUUACAAAUUAUGUCCAAGAAUGAUGAGCAUCCAAGUUGGGUAUAAUAAAAACUAUCAUAGAAAUUGAAUUGGAUGCUAUGAUCAAUUUGUUGCUUGAUAAUUGUUUUGAGAUAUAAAGGUUGUAAUGUUAGGUCAUGCUAGUGGAUAAUGAUGAAAUUGAGAAAUACUAUUGUUGAAGUUGGCAAGUCCCGUAGCAUGCACGUAUGGUAAAAGUUGUGUGACAAAUUUGUUACAUGAGGUGCUCUUUUGAUUGUGUUCCUUAUGAGUGGCAGUCGGGGAUGAGCGAUGGUCUUUUCCUACCAAUCUAUCCCUCUUGGGGCAUGUGUAGUAGUACUUUGCUUCGAGGUCUAAGUAGACUUUUGCAAUAAGUAUAUGAGUUCUUUAUGACUAAUGUGAGUCCAUGGAUAUACUCACACUCAUCCUUCCACUUUUCUAGCUUUUCUUACUACCGCGCAACUUUCACCGGUAUUGAGCCCAUUAUUUACCUUCCUCAAAACAGCCACCAUACCUACCUAUUAUGGCAUUUCCAUAGCCAUUCCGAGAUAUAUUGUCGUGCAACUUUCCACCGUUCCGUUUAUUAUGACACGUUUCAUCAUUGUCAUAUUGCUCUUGGCAUGAUCUUGUAGUUGACAUCAUAUUUGUGGCAAGGCCACCUUCAUAAUUUUCAUACAUGUCGCUCUUGAUUCAUUGCAUAUCCCAGUACACCGCCGGAGGCAUUCAUAUAGAGUCAUAUCUUGUUCUAGCUUUGAGUUGUAAUUCUUGAGUUGUAAAUCCAUAAAAGUGUGAUGAUCUUCAUUAUUAGAGCAUUGUCUCAGUGAGGAAAGGAUGAUGAAGACUAUGAUUCCCCCACAAGUCGGGAUGAGACUUCGGACUUUACAAAAAGAAAAAAGAAAAAGGCCAAAAAGAAAAAAAAUAGGCCGAAGAAAGAAAAAAAACGGGAAAAAGAAAAAAGAAAAGGAAAGGAAAAAAAAGAAAAAAAUGAGAGAACAAGAGAGAAGGGACAAUGCUACUAUAUCUUUUCCACACUUGUGCUUCAAAGUAGCACCAUGAUCUUCAUGAUAGAGAGUCUCAUAUGUUGUCACUUUCAUGUACUAGUGGGAAUUUUUCAUUAUAGAACUUGGCUUUUAUAUUCCAAUGAUGGGCUUCCUCAAAAUGCCCUAGGUCUUCGUGAGCAAGCAAGUUGGAUGCACACCCACUUAGUUUCUUUUGUUGAGCUUUCAUAUAUUUAUAGCUCUAGUGCAUCCGUUGCAUGGAAAUCCCUACUCACUCACAUUGAUAUCUAUUGAUGGGCAUCUCCAUAGCCCGUUGAUAUGCCUAGUUGAUGUGAGAUUAUCUUCUCCCUUUUUGUCCUUACAACCACCACCAUUUACCACCAUAGUGCUAUGUCCAUGGCUUGCGCUCAUGUAUUGCAUAAGAGUUGAAAAAGCUGAAGCGCGUUAAAAAGUAUGAAACAAUUGCUCGGCUCGUCAUCGGGGUUGUACAUGAUGGGAGUAUUUUGUGUAAUGAAAAUGAAGCAUGGCCUACCUAUAUGAUUUUGUAGGGAUAAGCUUUCUUUGGCUAUGUUAUUUUGAUAGGACAUGAUUAUUUGUUAGUAUGCUUUGAAGUAUUAUUAUUGUUAUGUUUUAUAAACUUUUAUCUUGAAUCAUUUGGAUCUUAACAUUCAUGCCACAUUAAAGAAAAUUACAUUAAGAAUUAUGCUAGGUAGCAUUCCACAUCAAAAAUUCUCUUUUUAUCACUUACCUACUCGAGGACGAGCAGGAAUUAAGCUUGGGGAUGCUUGAUACGUCUCCAAUGUAUCUAUAAUUUUUGAUUGUUCCAUGCUAUUAUAUUACCCGUUUUGGAUGUUUAUGGGCUUUAUUUUACACAUUUAUAUCAUUUUUGGGACUAACCUACUAACCGGAGGCCCAACCCGUAUUGCUGUUUUUUUUUGCCUAUUUCAGUAUUUUGAAGAAAAGGAAUAUCAAAUGGAAUGAAACCUUUGGAGGCGUGAUUUUUGGAACGAACGUGAUCUAGAGGACUUGGAGUGCAAGUCAAGAAGCAGCAGAGGCGGCCACGAGAUAGGAGUGCGCCCCCCCUGUAGGGCGCGCCCCCUGUCUCGUGGGCCCCUCGGGCAGCCACCGACGUACUUCUUCCUCCUAUAUAAGCCUGCGUACCCCGAAAACAUCCAGGGAGCAACCGUAACACAAUUUCCACCAUCGUAACCUUCUGUAUCCGCGAGAUCCCAUCUUGGAGCCUUCGCCGGCCACGUUCUGCUGGAGGGGGAAUCGACCAUGGAGGACCUCUACAUCAACACCAUAGCCCUUCCGAUGAGUUGUGAGUAGUUUACCACAAACUUACGGGUCCAUAAUUAUUAGCUAGAUGGCUUCUUCUUUCUUUUUGGAUCUCAAUACAAUGUUCUCCCCCUCUAUUGUGGAGAUCUAUUCGAUGUAAUCGCUUUUUGCGGAGUGUUUGUCGAGAUCCGAUGAAUUGUGGGUUUAUGAUCAAGUUUAUCUAUGAAUAAUAUUUAAAUCUUCUCUGAAUUAUUUUAUGUAUGAUUGAGUUACCUUUGCAAGUCUCUUCGAAUUAUCAGUUUUGUUUGGCCUAUUAGAUUGAUUUUUCUUGCCAUCGGAGAAGUGCUUAGCUUUGGGUUCAAUCUUGCGGUGUCCUUACCCAGUGACAGAAAGGGUUGCAAGGCAUGUAUUGUGUUGUUGCCAUCGAGGAUAAAAAGAUGGGGUUUAUAUCAUAUUGCAUGAGUUUAUCCCUCUACAUCAUGUCAUCUUUCUUAAGGCGUUACUCUAUUCGUAUGAACUUAAUACUCUAGAUGCAGGCAGGAGUCGGUCGAUGUGUGGAGUAAUAGUAGUAGAUGCAGGCAUGAGUCGAUCUACUUGUUGUGGAUGUGAUGCCUAUAUACAUGAUCAUGCCUAGAUAAUAUCAUAAUUAUUCACUUUUCUAUCAAUUGCUCGACAGUAAUUUGUUCACCCACCAUAAUACUUAUGCUCUCUCGAGAGAAGCCUCUAGUGAAACCUAUGGCCCUCGGGUCUAUCUCUUAUCAUAUUUGCUUCCAAUCUACUUUUAUUCGCAUCUUUACUUUUUGCAUCUAUAUUAUAAAAUACCAAAAAUAUAUUUAUCUUAUCAUACUAUCUCUAUCAGAUCUCACUUUCGGAUGUGGCCGUGAAGGGGUUGACAACCCCUUUAUUGCGUUGGUUGCGAGUUCUUGGUUUGUUUGUAUAGGUGCGUGGGACUUUUGAGGAGCCUCCUACUGGAUUGAUACCUUGGUUCUCAAAAACUGAGGGAAAUACUUACACUACUAUUGCUGCAUCACCCUUUCCUCUUCAAGGAAAACCAAUGCAACCUCAAGACGUAGCAGUGCCACAAAGGAGGUUCUGCAAUCACCGGUGCAUUUUAUCUUUUAUUCGAUCUCACGGGGCUGCCGGUGCUCGAUACCGAGCAGAUAUGGCGGGUCUCCAUCGACGGCGCCAUCGUCGGUCACAUCAUCCACGACAUCUCUCCCCCAUGUCGUUGCUUCCUCGGCGGCGACUUCCACAAUGGCACUAGCUGCAGCUGCUCCGGCUCUCGCUCGUGCUGCGGCUCUGUUCUUGCUGUCGGUCGCGCUGCUGCACUGCUCCUGCUUUCGUUCGUGCUGCUGCUCUGCUCUUGCUCUCACUUGCGCUACUGCUGCUGCUGCUGCAUGACCUCCGGCAGCUACAGGAGUUGCUGCUUUAGCACUCGCGCGCGGUGCUACUGCACAACUUGCUCUCUGCUAGUGUGUUCCCUGCUCGAGCGUCUGCUUAUUUAGAUCACUGCUUCUCUGCUACUAGUGCUCGAACGCCCUAAACAUCUAUUGCAAUGCUCUGUUACUAGUUCAAUCAGUUUUGACAGUAAAAUUCAGUUUCGACUGUGAAGUUCAUUUUCUUCAGUUAAGUUCAGAGUGAGCAGUACUUACAACAUCUGUUGGAGCGGCCGUGGCACGGCUGAUGCGAUUUACAUCUAGCACUUUUUGGUGAUAUAUUUUACAUCAUCUAUUGCAGAUGAUAUUAGGGUCCCACUUCAGAUUAAUGUUGCAUGUCUUGUCAUGCUUCAGCCUUGUCACCGUACACCUUAGCAGAGCUGCUCCAACGACCGAACCAUCCAUCACAGCGGAGCAGGACCCUCGGCGCCAUUUCGAGAGGCCUCGGAUCUUCUUCCCCGCCUCCGACAGUCACACCAGCAUCAUCACCAUCCUCCACGUCCAACCAAUGAUGCUGAGGUCGACAAGGCUAUGCCAAAUAGGUUGUACACUCUUCGCAUCACUUUGUUUCUCCAUUCCUCUCUUCUUCCAAUUCAUGUGAGCCAAACACCCAGGUUAACUGAAAUCCUAUGUUUCCAAAUGCUCUAUUUUGCACGUGCAUUCCUAUCCUAUUCCUGUGUUUUUCCUGUUCCUGCGUUUAUAGAAUCCUCCAAUUCUAAGGAGCCCUGACAGAUUUACUUCAUUUUCAGAUAGGCGUCAAAGAAAACUCUCUGUGUUAUGUCCUGCUCCUGCCGUGCUGUCAUCGACCCCACCUGAGGUGCACCAUCGAUAGAAGCGUUCACUGCAGCAGAGAUCCCCCCUGUAGACUUUCUUUCGCCGCCUCAGAUCAUCUUCCCCGUUGCCUGCAGCCACGCCAACUGCAUUCCCAUCAUUGACUGAGCAGAUGAACCUGAGGACUACACAGUUCCGGAAGAGAGGUCACAGUCUUUCGUGUUUGCUUACGUUAUACAUCGGUUAUUAUUACCUGCUACUUUAUCGUUCAAUCUUGAGUUUUGAAUUGCCCAUGGGUCUCAUACCGAGCGAGGAACGAAUAGUAUCUGUCUACUAUCUGGUUCAUCUGGGGUCUUCUAUGUGGUUCAUGUUGGGUGGGCAACAAACAAUAGAUGAUCCAUUGUCUAUCUUUUUAAACUGAAGCUAUAAUCUACCUGCUAUCAUUAGUUUUGGAUCCAUCCACUCGUUUGCUACCAUCAGUCUUAAUUUUUGCAUGCACCCCUUAGGCCUAACAAAACCUAACUAUGUCUUUUAUUAUGCAUGUCAGAUAUUGUACACAAUCGUACUGAACAUGUAGAGAAAAAGAGAAGACCGUUGCAUGCGAAUAUAAUGUCAUGCAGACACCACUCCAUGGUGGGCGAAGUGCCCCCCUCCUACAUUUCCAGAUUGUAUUCUAGAGGAAGAUAAUUGUUCAGAUGGAGAUUCAGAAGGAGCCGACCAUGCAUGUUUACCACCUGAGGUGUUUGAUCUAACCUGGCAUGCUGAUGUUGGUCAUAUCAUGCAUAUGGCGCGCUGCAUUGUUUACAUUAUACAUCUUAUAUGUCAUCAGCUUAGUUUAGAUUUUCUUUGUGUGAAUGCCACCUGUUUGGUUUCUAUAUCAUACUCCCACCAUUCCUAAUGUUUCUUCUUUUUAUAUUUCAACAAGUGACUACAUACGGAACAAAAUGAGUGAAUCUACACUAAAAUAUGUCUAUAUACAUCCGUAUGUGGUAGUCCAUUUGAAAUCUCUAAAAAGACAAAUAUUUAGGAACGAAGGGAGUAUAUGGGAAUUACGCAAUGCCAUUUUCUUUAGCCAGGCAUCAUAUACGUGAAUCAUGCAAUGCCAUCCUGUUUAGCCAGUCAUCGUAUAUGUGAAUUGUAUCGUGCCAUAUUUUUUUCCAUAAUUUAUUCCAUUUGUCAACAAUGUUUAUACAUUCAUCUACUCUUCCUGUGCAUCAGCCAUUUGAGUCGGUCAUGGGAAAAUCUGGUGUGAAAAGAAGGUCUUCUGAGCAGUCAGUGCUACAUGUCGAUGCAAAUUUCUUGCUGGUUACAGAUACCUCCUCAGAGGAGGAUUCAGAGAGAGAUGACCAGUCGUAUCCCCCCCCCGAGGUGCAUGCUCUAACUUGGCUGGGUUAUAUUGCUCACAUCAUGCAUAUGGUGUCUUGCAUUGCCAUGCCAUCUGCUUAGAUUAGACAUGCUUUGUGCGAAUGCCUCAUGUUUGCUUUCUAUAUCAGAUAUGUGAAUUACGCAAUGCCAUGUUUUUCAGUCAGUUAUCAUAUAUGUGAAUUAUGCACCGCCAUGGAGCCAGGCAUCAUAUAUGUGAAUUAUCUCAUGCCAUAUUUUUUUUCAUUACGUAUUCCAUUUGUCGACAAUCUGUGUAUAUUGAACUACUCUUCAUGUGUAGUAGCCAUUUGAGCCGGUUAUGGAAAAAUCUGGAGUGAAAACAAGGUCUUCAGAGCAGGCAAUGGUACCUGUUGAAGCAUAUAUCUCGAUGGUUACAGGGAGCUCCUCAGAGGAGGAUUCAGAGACAGAUGAGCAGUCCAAUAUCCCACCUAAGGUGUAUGCUCUAAGUUGCAAUGUUUAUAUUUCUCAUAUGAUGCAUAUGGUGUCUUGCAUUGCUUAGUUUAGACACCAUAUGCACAAUAUUGAAUUCUGUCUGCUUAGUUUAGAGAACAUACAUGCGAGUGCCAGCUACUUAGUAUAUGAAUCAAUUAUGUCAAUUAUAUCAUGCCAUCCUAUAUACUUAGACAACAUGUAUGUGAAUUAUUUCAUCCCAACCUAUUUUAGAAAGACAUCAUAUAGUUUUGUCAUGUCAUCCUAUUUAGGUACUCAUCAUAUGUUGAAUUAUGCCAUUAUAUCCUGUUAAGUUAUCCAUCAUAUAUCUGAAAUUGUGUCAUGCUAUCCUGUUUAGUUAGGCAUCAUGUAUGUGAAAUUAUGUCAUGCUGUCUUGUUUGGUUAGACAACAUAUAUGUGAAUUACCACAUCUCUCUAUCAUACAAUGUCUGUACGUUCAAUUUCUUUUCUUGUUUAUCAGCCAUUUGAAUUGGAGGGGGUGAUGGCAGUAUCUAAGGGAGCAAAAACCCGUUCUUCACAAAAGACAGUGCUACACGUCGAUGCAGAUAGAACCAUGGUUGUACUGGACCACAAACUAGCCCCACCACACAUAAUCGAGACUCUUCUAGAUUGCACACUUACACCGUUGGGCAGAGAACCAGCUACAACCCAUCUAACCUGUAGGACCUUGAAGUAUGUCUAGAGGGGGGUGAUUAGACUACUUGACCAAUUAAAAACUUAACCUUUUCCCAAUUUUAGAGUUUGGCAGAUUUUAGCAAUCUUUGGACAAGUCAAGCAAUCGUCACACAAAUCAAGCAAGCAUGCAAAGAGUAUAUAGGCAAUGGAAAUUAAAGCAUGCAACUUGCAAUAAAGUAAAGGGAAGGGUUUGGAAGAUUCAAACGCAGUUGGAGACACGGAUGUUUUUGUCGUGGUUCCGAUAGGUGGUGCUAUCGUACAUCCACGUUGAUGGAGACUUCAACCCACGAAGGGUAACGGUUGCGCGAGUCCACGGAGGGCUCCACCCACAAAGGGUCCAUGAAGAAGCAACCUUGUCUAUCCCACCAUGGCCGUCGCCCACAAAGGACUUGCCUCACUAGCGGUAGAUCUUCACGAAGUAGGCGAUCUCCUUGCCCUUACAAACUCCUUGGUUCAAUUCCACAAUCUUGUCGGAGGGUCCCAAGUGACACCUAGCCGAUCUAGGAGACACCACUCUCCAAGAAGUAACAAAUGGUGCAUUGAUGAUGAACUCCUUGCUCUUGUGCUUCAAAUAAUAGUCUCCCCAACACUCAACUCUCUCAUAGGAUUUGGAUCUGGUGGAAAGAAGAUUUGAGUGGAAAGCAACUUGGGAAGGCUAGAGAUCAAGAUUCAUAUGGUAGGAAUGGAAUAUCUUGGCUUCAACACAUGAAUAGGUGGUUCUCUCUCAGAAAUGGUAAGUUGGAAGUGUAGGUUUGUUCUAAUGGCUCUCACCACGAAUGAAGAGGAGGUGGAGGGGUAUAUAUAGCCUCCACACAAAAUCUAACCGUUACACACAAUUUACCAAUCUCGGUGGGACCGAAUCAACAAACUCGGUCAGACCGAUUUAGUAAACCUAGUGACCGUUAGGGUUUUCGGUGGGACCGACAUGCAACUCGGUAGGACCGAUAUGGUUAGGGUUAGGGCAUAAUGUAAUCUCGGUGAGACCGAUUACACAAACUCGGUGAGACCGAUUUUGGUAAUUAGCUAACCAAAGAGUUGGUCAGGUAAACUCGGUGGGACCGAUUUUCUCUUUUCGGUGAGACCGAAAUGUUACAAAAGGUAAACAAAGAGUUUACAUUGCAAUCUCGAUGGGACCGAUCGCUCACUUCGGUUAGACCGAAACGUUACGAAGGGAAAUAGAGAGAUUACAAUCCCAUCUCGGUGAGACUGAGAUCCCUAUCGGUAAGACCGAUUUUCCUAGGGUUUGUGGCAGUGGCUAUGACAUAUGAACUCGGUGGCGCCGGAUAGAAAGAAUCGGUGUGACCGAUUUUGGCUUUAGUUUUAGGUCAUAUGAGGAUGUGAGAAAGUAAUUGAGGGUAUUUGGAGCAUAUCACUAAGCACUUGAAGCAAGAGGCUCAUUAAGCAACACCUCAUCCCUCCUUGAUAGUACUGGCUUUUCCUAUAGACUCAAUGUGAUCUUGGAUCACUAAAAUGUAAAAUGAAGAGUCUUGAGCUUUUGAGCUUGAGCCAAUCCUUUGUCCUUGAUAUUUUGAGGGAUCCACUUUCAUCAUCCAUGCCAUGCCAUUCAUUGAGCUUUCCUGAAAUAAUAGUCUUGGAAUAGCAUUAGCUCAGUGAGCUAUAUGUUGUUAUGAAUUACCAAAACCACCUAUGAAUAGUUGCACUUUCAUAACGCGAACCCAGCGGAUAGUAAACCACUUAUAGUUGACAAAGCACCAUGUCCACCAUAGAGUACGCCCACACGAGCAGUUUGUAAAGCUACUGCAGUGCCCAAAACACGAAGACCACCACAGCUAACCCAAACUCCACGUUUAAAGCAGAAGAGCAACUGUUCUCAGGUCAGAUUCCGUAGCUAUGGUCCAUACUCCUUUGUUGUUGCAUCACUGUAUUUACUCAUACCAACUACUUUCGAAUUUGAAGGAUCCAAUUGAAACUCCAAUGGUGCAACAGGUAUGUUUUAAACCUAUUUCUUUAACUGGAUUGCUGUUCUAACUUCUUGCUCUAUGUUGAUUUCAGCUUAAGUUGUAUAAAAAGUUAUGUUCUCAUGUGAUGCACAUUACAAGUGCUGCCAAUGCUGUGUAGUUUCUCGCACUUAUAUUCUGUCUAUGCUGCUGUGUCUUAAAAAUAUAUGAGUUGAACUGUGUCUCUAUCUUGAUUAGGGAACAUAAACUAGAAUGAUAUGGACAAUAUAGUGACCAUAGUACAUAGAUAUAUGUUUGUUUUAUGCUAUUAUCCUGUCCACCUUACUACUGAACCGGUUUACCAAAAUGAGUUUCGUAUACUACAAGCUCAACCUGUGAUGUGUCUGCUUGUUUCUCUUGUAGUAUGCAAAUAGAAUAUUGGAGAAGAGCACCCCACUAUGCAAUGGUAGAGAAAGUAAUGCAGAUAAGGUUCAAGAUAGUGAGACAGCCCUGUUGGUCUCCAAGAAAGGUGAUAAAAACGAUCUUGUAGACAGUCAGAAAACCCCACAGUCCUGCGUUGAUGUAGUGUUUGAGUUACUGGCCAGUACCACUGGCACAAGCUCUUCGAACUCGCUGCCUGAAUCACUUCGGCUUCUUCAGUCUCAGCUACAAGCUGAACGGCAUUAGUCAGCUGUGCUGCGGCAAGAAGCCGAAGGACUGAGGAAGUCCCUGCAGAAUUCAGAUGCGUACUUUCUUGUGCAACAGCAAGCGCUUGAGGAUUUAAGCGCCAAACAAGAGAAAGUUAAUAAGCUUGCUAAGCAUGUUGCUAGAAUUAUGGGUACCUGGGAUAUUGUUUCUUGAACUCUUCUGAAGUGGUUUCAGUUCUGGACUUGUUUUGCUGCGGCGUUUAUAUGCUGCUUUGUUCCCUAUAAUUGCACUGGUGGCGAACUUUGAUGCCCAAUGGAUGUAAUAUGUGUAAUAGUCGUGAUAGCCUAGCAUAAGUUGUUUUCUUAUUUAUUUCCUUGUUGUCUUGUAGUCAGUGCAGUUCUUUUUCCGUGGUUUGCUAGUGGCUGCAAUAACCUAUUUUUUAAAACUAGGCCACAAUAACCAUGGGCUAAUAUUUACUGUAGUGACACUUGGCCUCCUACGGGCCGUAGAAACAGUGGGCCUUCUACGGGCCGUAGAAAUAGUAGGCCUUCUAUGGGACGUAGAAACAAUGGGCCUUCUACGGGUCGUAUCAUCAAUGGGCCUUAUACGGGCCGUAUGAUCGAUUGGCCAAACAUGGGCCAAUAACAGGACGCAUUAUGGCCGUAAACGGGCUAGAGUUGGAAUCAUCCAUUCAUGGGCCGACCUUAACGGGCCAUUGUUAAUAGGCCGUAUUUGAUGACGUUAUGGAAACGGCCCAACGUAUUAACGUACCACAAAUGGGCCAACUGUAACCACUGGCUGAAUUUGGCCCACAAGCAGAAAAUGACAGUAACAGGCCGUAAGUAAACGAAUGCUGGAAAUGAGCCCAAGAAUAAAUGGCCUCUAAGAAGGCCGAAAGAUAACAUGGGCUGGAAACGGCCCAACGGAAUAAUGGGCCGUUAAUGGGUAUAAAGUGAUACACUGUUCAUUAUGGGCCAGUUUCACCACGGGCCGUUAAUGGGUGUAAAGUGAUACACUGUUCAUUACGGGCCAGUUUCACCACGGGCCGUUAAUAGGCCAAGAGUUACAUAGGGCCUCAUAUGGGCAGAAAGACGUCAUGGGCCAUACAUGGGCUAGAAGUGAAAACAGGCUGGAAUCAUAUUGGAUGGCCCAAAUGAUGCUACUAGGCCUAAUUCGGAUUGGCCGUAACGGGCCUUGGGUUAGCGGGCUGUAAAUGGGCUAUAUGCGAACAGGCCGUUAACAGACUUUCCAUGGGCCGGCCCGCCACCUUUUAACCAAGUCAAAUGGGCCAGCCCACUACUAGAAAAACCCCUACUAAUGGCGCACCUAAUUUGGCCAUUAAUGGCGCAUCAGUGGUGCGCCAUUACUAGCACGCCAUUAGUAAUUUUUACUAAUGGCGCACCACUGGUGCGCCAUUAGUAUCUGGUAUACUAAUGGCGCACCAGUACUAAUGGCGCACCACUGGUGCGCCAUUAGUAUAGGCCAGGGUGCGCCAUUAGUAUGCCUCCCAGGGGCCAUGUAUACCCAGGUGCUUUGGCAUACUAAUGGCGCACUACAAUGGGAUGCGCCAUUAGUGACCGCGGCAUACUAAUGGCGCACUGUCCAGUGAUGCGCCAUUAGUAUGCUUUGUCAUACUAAUGGCACACUGUCAUGUGAUGCGCCAUUAGUAUGAAUAUUAGGUUUUUUUUUAUUUUUUAUUUUCUGUUUUUUGCACAGGUUACAUAGUUUUCUGUUUUAUACAGGCCCUUACUUCCACUAUGACUAGCCUUUCAUACUAAUGUCUUCGAGGUCUUAUAAAAGUGAACAGAGGGAGUACCUUUUAUUGUUUGACUUUGUUUAUCAGGAUUCCUGUGUUUUUCAAAUUCCUAUGAACCAAACACCCAACUUUGCAAAAUUUCUGCGUUUUUCUAACCCUCUAUUUUACACAUGCAUUCCUAUCAAUUUUCUAGUAUGUUCUUUUCUAGAAUCUUGCGAACCAAAGGAGGCAUAAGGGAAUGCAUAAAGUAGUCCAGAUGUCACUCAUUGGCGAUAAUCUUCGUGAUACAUUCGGCAUUCGCAUUGCCCCAGCAAUCCUCUGAAAGCCUUUUAUUACACGCUCAUCAACCUCGAGCACCGUACAAGGGAAAUAGCGUAUGCACGGUCGCCGACGAGCUUCCCAUCACCUAAGAUCAUCCCAAGGCAUGUGCGUGCACACCAGAUACAUUACACUAGUAGCCAGCGCAAGGAUGGAUUAUAUGGCGAAGUCGAGCCUCUGAGAGCUCGAGGAGGCGUCUGAAAGGUUUCCUGACAUCCACCUCUUGAGCAUCUCCAAGGCGGCCUUCAGUUGAUCCAUGGGUACCAUGUGACCAGAAUCGUGGACCUGAUCAUAGUGCCAAAAACAUCUCUAGUUAGUUUCACAGUAAAAUCCAAACUGAUGUAGCGCGGCACAAUACGCAGCAGGCAUUUGCCCUUAUAACACUCUGCUCUACUGUAUUGACAGAUAAUCUCUUGAGUAAAGGCCUGGUUAUUGUUUGUUCCAGAACUGACUGUUGGUAAGGGG
rnacentral:lncRNA from 1 species